UUUGGUUAAUUUUUUUAUUUUAAGAGCUCUGUUGUAAGGUUUAUUUAGUUAUUUAUAGUUUGGUUUUAAAGUUUUAAAAUUACAGUGAAUACAUGUUUAGUUAAGUUCAGUUUCACUUAUUCUUGUUGUUUGCCCUCGUGCAAGCCAUGUAUAUUGAAAUGUCAUUCUGAAAAUUAUUUAUUUCUUUAUACAUGUAUUUGUUGUUGUUGAGUCUUGGGCGGACAGAAAAAAUACUGUCCGUUCGGCGUCCGUGUACGGGCCCGGAUCAACCAAAUUAGCGAUAGCGGAACGUGACAGAUAAAAUUAGCUUCUUUACUAUGUGGUGUAUGCAGUGUACUUGUACACCUGGUUCAGGCAAUGAUUUCUCCUGCUUCUGUGUGAGCAGUUGAUUAGGCAUGUUUGUUUAGGUGGAAGUGGGAUGGAAGUGGGGAAGGGUGAAAUCGUUUUCGUCAUAAACAAUCACUUUUAUUGUUUGAUUUAUCGUAAAAAAAUUACAAUCGAAAUUCGAGUUAAUCUAAAAUUACUGAAAUCAAUUACGAUAAAAAAAAUUAAAGAAAAAAUAAUAAAAUAAUAUAUUAUAUAAAAAUUUGUUAAACAUUUAUCAGCAAUCAGUUUCACCCUCGACUUGUCCGAAAUAGGCCAGAAACCAAGAGCAAAACAUAAAAUAAAAAGUUAAUCCACUUCGAAUCCGCUCUGACCCGAUCCGUUAAGGAGUCACCUCCCAUCCUCAAAUUCGGCCCUGUUUGGAACUCGGUGCCGGUGAUUAGCUUUGCUUUACUCAGAAUUAAUGUCGGCGAUGCUCGUAGUAUUCGUCGCCGAGUUCAAAAGAGUUGGACUCUUGUCUCGUAAUUCGUAUAGGAACGUUUUAUUUGGGCCGGUGCUUUCUAGGCCGUUGGAUAAAAAAAGGGGGGCCAUGAUCCACGGGCCCUUUUCUAUUUAGAUUUUUUUUUGUUUAAUUAAUUUUAAUAUUUCCAAGUUGAUAAUAUUUUUAUUUUUGAGAUAAGAAAAUAGAAUAUUUACCCUAUAUAUAUGUAAAAUUAAAUAGUAAUAAAAAAUAAUAAUACUUAUUAUUAUUAUUAUUAUUAAAUUAAAAAGAACAGUGGGUACGACAUGCUCGCACGUUUUCCUCGUACAACCCACGUUCAUUUUGAUUUGAUGCACCGGAAACUAUUACGUAAACCCGGCUCACCGUAUUUUCCAUACAACCCCCAAAUUGCAGCGGAGAUUCUACGAAGGAAUUGAAUUGGUGGUAGAUGAUUGGAUGGUCCAAGGAAGAUUCGGUGAACCGAGUCUACGAAAGAAGCAUUUCAGAAAGAAUCUAUUUAAACCGUCCAAACCUCGUGAACCCCUACCCCAACGUAAAAGAGAGGCCAGUUCCUACGUGUACCAGAAACGUACCCAAAGAGACACCUAUUCCUGGAAAUUUUAUUUCAGUUGUUUGGUAUCCUUGGAAAAGUCGUUGAAAAAAAGUCCCUUUUUCGGGUCCGUUUAGCACGUCGCUAUUAGGCCGCGUCACCAAAUAUCUAGAGAUCUGAGACACCGUUCGAAACUCUCUCCGAAUCAGAUGAACCAUGAAAAACAGGGAACAGCGUUUUCACCGAAUAGAUCGCGUAAUAGCUUUAAAAUAUGCCACGUGUUAAAUAUUUAUUGGUGUAUUUAGAGCUUCGUAUUUUAUUGAUUAAUUUUGGCCAUGCACCACGCAUAGGCACGUUGGCGUUACAUUAAAGUGGGGCCCACCUCGCUUACACCCUCUUAUCAGAGUAGGUGAAAAUGUGACGAAGACCCCUUAAGUAUAGAAAUUUGUGAAACUACCCCCUAAACUUUUCCUUUAUAACUGAGGCAUUUUAAAUUUUUAUUUUUAUUUUUUUUUUCAAAUUACAAACAAUUAGAGGCUAAUAGAGCUGCUAAUUUUAGGAACAUAUAUUCUAUUUAAUCAAAAGUUCUUUUAAAAAAGUUCAGGGGCUGAUAGCAAAUUUUCUAUAGUUGAGGGGUCUCGGUGCAGUUCUACCACCACGUUUCUACAUAGAGGCGGCGUGCUCACAGGGACAGAGCUUGUCUCUGCUCCCAUGGCGAUCUCUAGGGUUUGGAUCUCCUCCUCCUUUGUCCUUGCGCUCCUACUCUUCUCCACGUUGUCCCCGGCUAGGGCGGAGGGAGAGGCCGGAGCGGAGGAGGCCGGAGCGGAGGAGGCGGAGGCGGCGGCGGCGGAGGAGUCGGCGGUGCUCACCCUCGACGCCUCCAACUUCGCCGAAGUCGUCGCGCAACACUCCUUUAUCGUCGUCGAGUUCUACGCCCCAUGGUAGACCCUUACCCUAGCUCGAUCCUGAUGAGAUCCUUGCUUGAUGUGUGGUUUUGGAGUGGGAAUUUGGUUCCUGUGAUCUGGAGUUGUAGAUCUCAUGAAUUAAUUCGUUUCAGUAGUUGUUCGAAGGGGUGUAGUGUUGAUUUCGCCUUAUUUUCCUGUUAAUUUGGUAAUAUGUUUAGAUCAACUUGGAAACAACUUGAUCUAGCAUCAUACACAGCAGACACUGGAAGAGGAUUCCUGAUGUGUUUAAAACAUGUUCUGUAGAUGCUUCUUUCUAUGGAUCAGUGUAUUUUACUUGAAUUUUGGCACUUAGAGCAUAUAUUUGGUGAUUUGGUCGUUUGGUUAGUUCAACUGAUUACUUGGUGGGAAUUAUGCAAUUUUUUUUCCCCUUCAUUCCUGUUGUCUCAUCACAAAUUUUCUUGGAGUUGCUGUUGGUACCCCUCUCCCUUUGAGAUGUGAUGUUUCAAAUGAAAGUUCUUAAUUUUAGUUUUAGCAUUCAUGAUGUUCUUAAUCAGUAUUUAUGGAUUUUGUGAAGAAAAUGUUGUUAAUUGCAAGCUCUUAUGUUUACAAAAGAGUUUUUUUUUUUUUUUCCUACUUUCAGAAGUUUGUGGCUUUUACAAUAAGUUUUUAAGAUUGAUGUUAAAGUAUCUGAACUGAAGAUCAAAAGAGUUGUGCUUCUUUCAGAAGUAUUGGUAAUUUACAUUUUUUGGUAACAUGCAAUUUCUAAUUCCACUCCUCUAAAUCUCUAUGUUAACAGGUGUGGCCAUUGCCAGAGACUUGCUCCAGAGGUAAAUAUCUCUUGACAGAGAUGUUGAAAUCACAUAAACCUUAACAAUUGUGAUGCCCGCAUAUAUUAAGCUUUUGCACUGAUGUUGUAUUUGGCCUUCUUUUGCAGUAUGAGAAGGCUGCAUCGAUAUUGAGCAAACAUGACCCGCCAAUUGUGCUUGCUAAGAUUGAUGCUAAUGAGGAGAAAAACAAAGAGCUUGCCAGUCAGUAUGAGGUGCAGGGCUUCCCCACAAUUAAGAUUCUAAGAAAUCAAGGAAAAAUCAGUCAAGAGUACAAGGGUCCUCGGGAAGCAGAUGGCAUAGUUGAUUAUCUGAAGAAACAAGUUGGUCCUGCUUCUGCUGAGAUAAAAUCUACAGAAGAUGCCAGCAAUUUAAUUGGCGACAACUCAAUCUUUAUUGUAAGCUCAUAUCUUAGCAUUCCAUUGUUAUCAUCCUAUUUUUCUCCAAACAGACACCCCACGGGCCUCAUUCUCUUUAGUUGUGUGCCGUUUUGACAUAGUUUACGUACAUGAUGACAGGUUGGAGUGUUCCCUGAAUAUAGUGGCAGUGAGUUUGAGAACUUCAUAGCUGUGGCUGACAAGCUGCGAGCAGAUUACAGUUUUGGUCACACCCUGGAUGCUAAGCUCCUUCCUCGCGGUGAUUCAUCUGUGAAAGGGCCUGUUGUUAGGCUAUUUAAACCGUUUGAUGAACUAUCCGUCGAUUACCAGGUAAGUCGGACUUGAUAACUUUUUUUCUUUGUAGUGAGUUGUUUUGCAUGUUCUAAUUGAUAAUACAAAUUUACCUAAUAGGAACAUAGAUCUAAUGUGGAUCAGCGCUUUUCUGGUUUAUUUGUUUCUUUCAAGAAUUUUGACUACAUUUCUGCUGUAUGCUUACAAGCUUUUCUCAUUACCUGCUGCAGGAAUUUAAUGUGGACUCACUAGAGAAUUUCAUUGAAGUUGCAAGUGUGCCGUUGGUCACCACUUUUGACAAUGAUCCCAACAACCAUCCUUAUCUCCUAAAAUUCUUCGGUCGUCCUAGUAACAAGGUAAGAAUCUUUGAAUGAUCUUGCACCUGUCUAAUCAUUUGUUACGGUUGGUUAGAAUUACUAGAAUUUUGAUUGCCAAUCCCAUGUGGUUGCUAGAUGCAUGAAUAUGCUGUUUAUCAUUCUUCUGUGAAGUCCUUGCACUCCAUACCUAUGAUCAUCAAUUGAAUACCCAAGUUGUCCACAUAACUAUUGGUGCACUGUUGUAAUAUCUCGUUAUUCUUUUAUCAAACUGGUUCAUGGCUAUUUGCUCUUUUGUAAUGAACAGGCUAUGCUUUUCGUGAACUUCAGCGAUGAGAAAUUUGAUGCUUUUAAAUCCAAGUUCCGUGAAGCUGCUGAACAGUUCAAAGGGCAAAACAUAAGCUUUUUGAUUGGUGAUCUUGAUGCCACUCAGCGUGCUUUCCAGGUUAAGACUUGUAAAUUGUAAUCCUUUAUGAUUUUCCUUUUCUUCAAGCUUUUUUUAUUAGUCCGCUUAUAAGUUUAAUAUCUUUUGCCUUGGAUGAUCAGUAUUUUGGACUGAAAGAAGAUCAAGCUCCCCUCAUUAUGAUAACAGAGACCACCGGUAAUAAGUAUCUUAAAACAAACUUGGAACCUGAUCAAGUUGUAUCUACAUUGGAGGAGUACAAAGUAAGAUUUAAAUAUUUUCCCUCUCUGAGAUGGCGUGCCUUUUUCUUUUUCUGGAGUUUCUUAUGUAUAUGCCCAUGUAAAAUAGCCUCUUUAUGUAUAUUAGACCCUUCCAAAAUCUGGAUUUUCAUAUCUGGCUUCAAAAAUUUUAAGUCACACAUAGGCCUUUAUGCAAAAGUUGCCCCUCUUUGGAAAACUUUUUCAAAUACAAAACCAACUUUUCCCGGAACUGGAUUAUUUCCCAACUUUAAGAUAAGAUUAAUUUUAGGAAAAAUUUGCACUUUGGAGUAUUACAUAUGAAAAUUUGGAUUUACAGGAAUAUACAGUAAAUAGAUGAUUUUGCAGGGAUACAUUUGUGUAAAAUCUCAAUUUCUGAAAACUUGUUUUGUGUGCUGCGAUCGUGCUCCUACCAUCUAAGUAAUAUGUUCCCUGCACAAAUGAGAAAAUUUGAUUAAUUGGGUUAUGAAUUUGGACAUAUAAUUAAACCUUUUUUUUUUUUGGUAUGUGCAUAUAGGAUGGUACCUUGAAACCAUUUUUGAAGUCAGAGCCAAUUCCGGAGGUCAAUGAUCAACCUGUUAAGGUUGUUGUGGCUACCAACCUUCAUGAUGUGGUCUACAAAUCUGGCAAAAAUGGUUUGCCCUUCUUGGCUUGUUUUCUUUUCUGGAUAACAUGCUUCUUUUCUUAGAUUGGAUCUCCUAAUGCCUUUUCGGUUCCAAUCAGUAAACUCUAGGAGUUGAACAUUUGAACGUGCUUCAGUUUUGUUUACUAAACUUGCUCCGCAUAGGUUCAUAAGAAUGGAAUAUUUCUUGUUAUCUUUUUCUUUCUCCCCCAUUUUUUCCUUUUUAGUAGGAGUUUAUCUAGUUGUGCUUGUCUCCUUGUGCCUCUGUAUUAAUUGACACAGGGAUUGGUCAAAUGUGGGUGGUAGAAAUUAAUUCAAGAAAUAAGAAAGAAGAAAAGGGUUCACAGAGAUUGAAAAAGGAGAACCAGAUAAAAACCCUCUUAUCAGAAUUACUUUUUGUUUAUAUGACUGUAUUAUUUGUCGAACUUCAAAUUGAAAUUUUUAUGUUUGGUUAUUCAGUAAGACAUCAAUUCAUAAUGGAUAUCAAGAACCUAAUGGUUUUAGAAAGUUGAUGUUGGAUGAAACUGUUUCAUUAUGAAAUAAGGAUUUAGUCUUUACAUAAACUCAAUUAUUUAUUGAGACGUGAUGCAGAAUCUCAUUUUAGUAUGUUAAUGACAACUGCUUCCUUGCCCUCUUUCUGCUCAAAUCUUCAGUUCAAUUAAAAAACUUUAUUUACUCGUACUAUAUUCUAACUUUCCUUCUUUUCAUUUUUUGUAUUCAUUUGCAGUUUUCCUCGAGUUUUAUGCACCUUGGUGUGGACAUUGCAAGAAAUUAGAGCCUAUCUUGGAGGAAGUAGCUGUCUCAUUCAAGGACGACAACGAUGUUGUUAUUGCUAAGAUGGUAUGCUUACUUUUGUCCAUUAUUAUUGUGUAGCUUUUAGUCUCUCUUCUAUUUAGUCAUUUUGUUUCAGUUAGUGUCUAUAUAAUAUCAGUGUCUUCGCUAUCAACAUAAAUUCUCCAUCGUUAUUUUCAUUUGAGUAUGACAUGUUUCUUAAAAAAAAAAAAAAAAAUUUGCAGGAUGCUACUGCAAACGAUAUCCCGAAGGAGUUUGAUGUUGAGGGUUAUCCAACUCUAUACUAUUAUACUGCUGAUGGAAAUCUGAUGAAUUAUUUGGGUGGUCGGAGUAAGGAAGCCAUCAUUGAUUUUAUACAGAAUAAUAAGGGUAAAAAGGUCCAGUCCGAGUCCAAGUCUGCAGAAGAUGAAGAAACUCAAUCCAAACCCGUAGUAGAGGAAGCAACUGAAUCUGAGCCUGUCAAAGAUGAGCUAUGAUUGUGGUGAGUUCUGUGAAAUAUAUACAUAUAUAUUGCUUCUCCGCCCCCUCCCCCCCCCUCCUCUCUCUCUCUCUCCAGUGUUUUUGAGUGAUUGAGUGAGGUAAUGUGUUAUGUGUGCAACAAUAACAUUUUUAUUGGGAAAAAAAGACCUUCGGUCCAUCAGCUACGGCCUUUGUUUUCCCAAGUUAAGAAGAACAUUUUUCAAUCUCAAACAACAAAUACAAAUUUCUAGUUGAAUUUUUCACUAUUUGUUACGUCAUUACCUGUAUUUCUUCUAUAGUUUUGUUAUUGUAUAUCAUGUUGUAUGGAGAACUUCAUCUGCUAACUAUAGAAACAUUAAAAAAGAAAAUGAAAAGGCAUUUUAUCAUUCUGAGUAUUUAUACAAAAGUGCUAACCUAGCAAAAGGUAUAAAGGAAAAAACAGUAAUUUUUUGCUUAUUCUUGCAGGAAAUUUAUGAACUUGAUGUUGCGACUUGAUGUUGCCAGAGUAAGUGUGCGCCUUUGAUCAGAUUUUGGCGGCUAAUUACUACAAACAUGUUUUUGGUUCUCAAGCCAAAUUUACUGAGGUACACUUGUUAGAAGGUUCCAUAUUGUUAUUUUGUACUUUCUAGCUUAAUAAUUAGUAGUGUUGCAUCUCGAGUACAUUAGAAUUCAAUAGCGCUUUUGUUUGCGACCAAUCGAUCGAGAGAUUUAUGAUUAAGUUAAUAAAUGGAGCCUUUAUGUUUAGUCUACCAUUUCAUGUGGAAUUUCUGGGUACCAAUAAUCUAAUAAAAGUUAAAUAAAAGUAAGCUUUCCGAUCCUAUAUGAGUUCUGUGUUUCUUGUGUUUUCUAUUGGUCUCUAACUUUUACUAGACCUUUAAUUUCAAUCAAAUCUUUUAAUUUGCAAUCAAGUUCAGAACAUUUAUCAGCUGUUUACAUCAAAUCCCUUCAAAAAUUUCAAUCUGCAUGGCAAUUUUCAUUUGAAUCGAGUUUUUUUUCACACACAAAAAAAGGACUUGUUGAGACAACUAAUAGAAAUUUGAGAUCCAAUCGCAUAAUUUAGAAGGUCAAGGGCCAAACUAAAAAACUUGGAUAAAGGGCACCACCUGUGUUACUAAGGGCUUCUUUGGAUCAAGCACAUAGACAUACUAAGGCUCUGUUUGGGAUUGUAGCGAGAUUGCGUUACGUCUGUUCAGAAAGUGCAGUAGGAAAAAUGAUCUGAUUGUUUUUGUAUAUGAUAUCAAGUUAUGCAUAUUGGAAUGAGUCAGGUUAGUUUUAUUUUAGGGAAAACUUCAAAAACCCCCCAGUGGUUUUGCACUUUCUCAUUUUAGUAUCCUGUAAUUUAAAGUGUAUCAAUUUGCCCUCCAAUGGUUUUGUUUUUAUCUUUUCGGCAAAUUUUUUCUUAAUAUUUUGUUAAAUUAUAUACAAAAAACUUUAGAUGCCCACAUAGAUUUAUCGAAUAUUUACUUUAGUACCCUUUAAUUUUAACUUUGUCACUGAUUUAAGAAAAAAAAAAAAUUUGAUAAUAAAAAGAGAAAAAUAAAAUCACAGGGGGGCAAAUUGAUACACUUUAAACCACAGGGUACUAAAGUGAGAAAGUGAGAAACCAAGGGGGGUUUUUUAAAGUUAUCCCUUUAUUUUAUGUAGUUUAAUGGGAAACUGAUUAGCGUAUUUGCUUAUGUGUUUUUCCCAACUCCAUUUUGUUUAAGGUUGUAACAACUCGGUACACUAAUAACUUGUUGGGUCCUAACCCGCCGAUCCAAAAUGUUUAAACCUAAUUAUUAUUACUAAGGUUCAUAGCCUCUUAUAUUUUCCAAUCACAACCCCGUUCUCGUAUAAUGUGAGACUAUUAGGUCCAUGGUCUCUUAUAUUUUCAAUUACAAUCCCGUUCUCACCUGCACAACGUAAGAUCAUCGGGCGAUAUAAGUCCAUCUCACACUUGCGGCUAGUUGGUGUACCGGCUUCGAUAUCAAGUGUAACGAUCUCAUCCAAAACUAGUUAGGCUCAAACCCCAGCCCAAAAUACUUAAAGCCGAAUUAUUAUUAGGGUUUAUGAUUUUAUAUGUUCUCAAUCACAAUUUCGUUUUCAUCCAACUUGGGACUAUUGGGGUGCUAGUCACAAGAGUAAGUUGCACUUUUGUUCCUCAAACCAUGAGGAGCGCGACACUUUGGUACUCAAGCUUUAAUUUAUUAUAACGGCUCUAACUUUCUGCAUUGUUGUAAUCAAAUCCCAUAACUCAGUUUAGUUAGCUAAACGUUGGCAAAUUAUUGACGUAGAAGUGAUUGAUGAUGCGACAAUAUUUAAGAUGCUAAUAUUACUUCUGCACCAAUAAUUUGUCGACAUUUAGCGAACUAAAUUGCGUCGUGAGAUAUGAUUGCAACAACUCAGAAACUAUUAAAGUUCGUAGACUAGAGCGUCGCACGCCUCAUAGUUUGAGGACCCAAAGUGUGAGUUAUCCUUUUGUUUAAUAGAGUUUGGUGGGACCAGAUGGGCCCUAAAUUAGUUGUUGUCUCUCGCAAGGUUUUUGCUGUUUCCUCUAAAACCUGCAGCUGCAGAUACAGACUAUUUGAGAACAGUUUUCUUCGAAACUUCGAUAAAUAUCUGUUCUUCAUGAUCAGUCGAUUUCGAACGCGGACGAGUCGACGACUGAUCAUCCAUCAGAAAGAGAAAGGAAAAUUCAUUCAGCCCUGUAACUUACAGACAUGGCUAAAGAGCAGGGAGGAUGAUGAUAAGUAUGAGGGUGAAACUUACACCCAAUACUAACUACAUGUCGUGCAUCUUUGUACGUACGACUUUUUUUUUUUUUGUUUUCCAACUCCUUUAAUGUUUCGAGUGUAAAAGAAAAUAGGAAAGUUUGGUAAAAGUUUCAAGAACUUACUUGAACGAUGGAUUGUUUUUGAGUCGACUAUUCAAUCUUUUAAAAGUUUGGUUUUACUGCACUACCUAUCAUUCACUCUGUUCGAGCAUUGUGACUUCAAAAUUGAUGCUAACUAUUUACUGGAAUGAAUUUAUAGUUGUGAGAAUUACAUGAAGUAUACUAACUAAACGACGCAUUUAAAUAUUUUUUGUCAGAGUGUCGAUACCUGAUUCAAAUUAAAUAAACUGAAAAGUAGAUAAUAGUAAAGUUAAAAUUUGGAGAAGUUAUGUGGUCCACUUGUAAUGAUUUAUAGAGUCCAGAUAAGUUAUUCUACAUUUUUAGGGAGAAGUUUCAGUUUCUAGGCUUGAAACGUGUGGAUAAUGGCAAGAGAUUGUAUAGGAUUUUCUAUUCUCCUAAAGAUGAUUGAAGUGAUUAAUGGGAUCAGUGAUUGAUGAUUGGAGUGUUCUUACAACACUCCAUGCGCCAGUGAUUACUUCGUGUAUAGAAAUUUUCUGUACUUGGGAUUGCAGAAAAUCUACGCUCUACUAAAAGAAAUGACUAUCGUCGUUAACACAGCCAGUUUUACUAUUAACAAAAAUAUUCGCGAAGUGUAAUAAAUCCGAGUACUGAUCCUCUUGAAUAUAUGCUUCAUUAAUUAAGGACCUUAAAAAGGAAAGCUAAGAUGCUUAUCCAAUCACCUGUUGCCACAUCAGCAUGCAAAGAACUGUUAGAACAAAUGAUCAUCCAGUUAGAUUUCAUCUAGUUCACGGUUCAUAAUAUUCUGAUUAUUUAAAUCAUUAUCAUUUAAUUCAAUGUGGAUAUUUGUAAAAGUGCUGCUCCAGUAGUGGAAUUAUUGCAUAUUCUUAAGCUACCGUUUGGUUUAAGUAAUAGAAAUAUUAAAUUAUCAUGGAUUAGAGAGAUUCUUUUUUUCUUUUUUUUUUAGCUUUUCAAUUCAAGUGAGUUAAUAAGUUAGUAAUGAAUUUAUCAUUCGAAAUAUAAAAUAUAGAAUAUUUUUAAAAUAUUAUAAAUUUUGAAUCAAACUGACUCCUUUAAUAAGCCACCGUUUGGUUCGGGGUUAAAUAAAAAUUAUUAUUCCAAGGAUAGAGUUAAGUUCAGGGUUAAGGUGGGGUUAGAGUAAUUUUGUGUUUGGUUGAGAAUUGAAUUUUGUCCAGAUAUAAAUAAAAUAGUGUUUGGUUGGAGUAGGUGGAAUAAGAAGGAUAGUGGGUAAAAUAGUGUUUUGUUUGAUUGGAAUAGUGGGGUGGGGCGGGGUUAGAUAACCCCACCCUCCAAAUUAGGUGUUUGGGAAUAACUUCGGAUGUUAUUCCACCUCUUAACCCCGAACCAAACGGGUGAGGGUUUCAACUUUACCUUCCAUUUUGUUAAGAUUCCCCUCUCUCUCUCUCUCUCUCUCUCUCUCUCUCUCCUUUUUUGAACUGUCACACUCCGCUAUUGCUUGGAAGCCAAGUCCAGUUAGUAUUACUCCAAAACUUAUUCCCCAGAAAAGAUCAAAGUAUUUUGGUGGAUCCAUCAAGAAUGGUAGGUAAAGGUGAAACCGCAACUCUUUUCUGGAAAAUUUCAACUACCCAAGAAAACCAACAUAUUAACCCAAAAAAAGAGAAAAAAAAGAAGAAGAGGAAUUUGGGUAAAAAGAUGUUUAGUGAUCCCUCAACUAUAUAUCCUUUUGAAGUAAGUUAUUUUUAGCAGUUAAAAUUCAGAAAUAUGUUAAAUUUAAUGAUGAUUCUGUUGAGUUUUGAAUUUAAUUUGUUUGAAUACUUUUCAUUUAAUAAAAAUUGCGGAUUUCAUUGACUCUCAAUUGCUAUGAAAAGCUAAAAAGGCCCUUAAUUUUAACAAAUUCUGACUCAAAUUGAAAUAAAAAAAAAAGAUGUUAUUUAAGGGGAAAAACAAAAAGAAGAUAAGUUGAAUGUUCUAUUUCAAAGUAACCUAUAGUUGAGGGGAUCUCCAUCAACUUUUAUUAAAAAAAAAAAUAGAAAAAGACUCAUACAUCAUACAUUGUGGCUUGUCUCUUGCGUGACUCCUCUUCUUACUCUCUUUGCUUCUCCUUGAAGCUCUUUGGCAUCAAGUUUCCCUUUUCGAAUUGAUUAUAUCACUACCCAAAUUACUCUUUUCCCACCCCUCUCUUUAUCCAUUCUCCCUUUUCCAAAAAGUGUGUGUGUGCGUGUGUGAUAAAGAGAGUAAAAGAAACACCACAACAUGAGCUUUUCUUGAGUGUUUGUUUCUAUUGAAUCUUGUUUCUAAGGUUUAGAUAACUUUUUUAAGUUCCCACCGGGAUUAUGGGAAGGUCGGUUAUGCCGUGCUUUCGCCGGAGGAGCUUUCUGGCAGAUGAUGCUGAUGCUGUCGACGAUGAUUCGUCUGCCUUCUGCGCUUCUCUCGCCGACGGCCUUCGAAGGCUCGAGGAGUCGUUGGCAAAGGAUUCGAUAUCCCUCAAGUGGUCGGCCGAGGUGAUGAGCCUUUUCAAGAAGAUGCAAGUGGAGCUCCUCGCCGUCGUCAAGAAAUCCAAGUUGCCUAUCACUUACGGUGCCGAAGAAGAUUGGUUUGAUCAGUACAUGCAAGAAACCGCCGCUCUUUUGGACUUUUGCAACGUGUUCAAGUCGGCGAUCUCCGGUUUCAACCGAUAUUGCAUGAUCGUAGACCUCGCUAUCCAAAUACUCACCAAAGAUGCUCCCGGGUUGAUCGAUAUCGGUGAGUUCGAGUUCGAGAGGUUAGAGAGAGCUACAGGAAAGGUUUUGGAUGCCAAAGCAGUGAGAGAGACAUUAGGGUUAGCCGACACGAUCACGGCAUGGGGCAACAAGAAGGAUGAGAAGGGUAUUGCCGUUGUCAUGCUCGCCGCGAAGACUACGAUGCUCGUCAUGUCAUUGCUCCUGUUCUCCGCGUUGGUUUCGCCUAUUUCGAUCGACGUGGGGGGCGCAGGGAUCAACUGCAGUCCCCCCGAGCUGAAGCCGUGCCUGGAAGCGCUUGUGUCAAUCUCCGAUAAGUUCCGCGAGAGGUUCCAGGAGGCCGAUACGGAGUUUGGAUCGGUUUUAUUUGAGCAUAAGGUGAUGGCGGAGGCGGCGAGGGAACUGAAAGGGCAAGCGGUGGAGGCGGCAGGCGUCGAGAGGUUGAAGGCGAGCUCGGCCGAGUUGAAGAGAGGAGUGGAGGUGUUUGAAGCCAUGGUGGAUGAGGUGUUUGGGGAGGUGGUUAGAGGGAGGAAUGAGAUGCUGGGGGUUUUCAGGGAUGGUGCCCUAGGUUUGGGCUCAUGAAAUUCACUGUUGUAUAAGUAACUUUGUGAAUACAUGCACAUGUAGUAUAUAUAUAGAAAAUGGAAUGCAAAACCCUAUUCUUCUUUUGAUUGUAUAUGCUAUGUAACUUGUUCUUGAGGAAAAAAGAAUACAAAGAAAAAACAAAAUUAAAAGAAAGAGUUUGUCCUUGUUGAUAUGAUAAUCACAUGAAAAUAGUACAAAGUAUUAUAAACAUGUAGAUAAAAGCCCAUUGAAUAUCAAAUACGCAAUAUAUUUUUGUAAUCAAGUAAUAUUAAUCAAAAUUUACAGGACUACAAACAAGGAUUAAAGAAUGGUGAAGCAAAGUCAAAAUUUCAUCCAUCAAUUAGCUCUAUCCUAAAAAGAAAAAAUAAAAAUUUAAACAUUUUAAAAGAGUGAAGAUGCAAUGCUGAAUAUUAGUGCAAUUUUAUCAAAGAAUAUACAAAAGUUAAAAAAACAAACUUUGUAUUUUUGUUGAGGCGCUCUCGCUGAAAAAUCAUCGUAAUCUAGUAGAUUUUUGUGGAGUUUGUAGAAUUACCGCGUGGUUCUACUGCUCUGUGAUGGAAAAGUUUUGUGAUAGCACGCCGCUCGCAAUCCUGAACAUGGAAGUUGUUUUUAGAACUCGAAGUACGAAAGCCGAAAAUGAGCUUACAAUGAAAAGAAAGAGGGAAUUGAUCAAAUCAAUGAUGCAUAUGAUUUUUUUGACAAGCACCUUAAACAUGUUUAAGCGAAAAGGUUUCCUGGGGUUCAUCCUUCUGAGCUUCAAGUAUGUGUAAGCGAAACUCAGCUGGUCGCGAGGUGUGAACCGAUCAACCUCGUUAAACCAUAGACACGAAAAUAAGUUCGACAUCGGCGUGUGUUCUCUCACGAUAAAAGAUCCUUCCGGGACAUCUGUAAAUAAUCGAAAAAAGCACAUUAAAGUGACAUAUAAUGUAAAUAAUAAUAAUAAAUAAUAAUGGCAGUGUACUAUAGAAGGGAAAUGUGUAGAAGCUGUCCCCGUAAUUUCGACAAUAUAGCAACUAGUCGAAUUUUCAGUCCCUGAACUUCGCCGCUGCGUGUAAUUGGAUUAUUGGCUCCGCCGCCAAUCCAAUGUCUAGAAAGUCACUUGCUCUAAACGUCGUGACUAUCGUCAUGUAAAAUGACCAUUUUGCCCUCUCCAUGUAAAAACGACUAGUGGUAAAAUGGUCAUACAGGAAAGUUCAAGGACUGAAACAUUUGAGAGUACAGAGUUUAGGCACUAGGUUGUGGAUAUUGUGCGAGUCCUUGGACGUUUCAUGUAUUUUACCCAAGUUAUGAGUCCAUACAGCUAGGAAGCAAUUUGUCGGGAUUGGAAGAGUUGAACUUGUUAAGCCCAUCCGAACGGUAGAAAUUGUACUGUUGAUCGAUGAUGGUGUGAUUAAACUUAUUCAGCCUUUUAUUCUGCUGCACCUCCUCCUCAACGCUGUGUCGACUGUAGUGAUUGGAAAUUGCAUACUCUGCAUUCUUCCUCCACAAUAAAUAUUCGAUAAUAAGAUAAGGGUCGGCAUCAAGUCGCAGUUUGCUAUCUAGCCAUAUUGAAUACCUGAAAUUGAUAAAGCUGUUUAAUGAUAAUAAAAUUGACACAAAAAGAUUUAAUUAACUAAAAGAGAGACAUCAACAAAUCUGCUUCUAUACAGAAAGAGAAAGAAAUACAGCUAUCCAAAUUUCAGAUCAUUAUGUCUACCAAGAUGGUAUCCUACUAUAGGGUGGUCUUUUUUGGCUCGGUUGGAGAAUUUGCAGAAGUUGAAGGUGUUUGAAGAAGCACUAAAAACAUUUGCACUAAAAUUCCCUCCAACAGGUUUUAGCUAAAGCAGAAGCUACAAAUUUGAAGUUUUUACUUCUGCAAUCCAAAAGCUCAUUACAGUUUCCUGAUCAUAGCAAAGCUCCAUAAUGUUAUUUAAAGCAAGAAUCAUUGUUGCUGCUUGGUCUAGAGCUGGUCAGAGUAGCCCGAGGCCAAGAUCGCCGGAUGGACCUGUUUGACACCCGGCCGCUUUCCUUAUUAGAUCGUCAACAAAAGGGGGUCCGCGGUUGACUACGUCUUGUAGAUGCUACCUAAAAGGGAAGAGGUUCAAGAAUGGCUGCAUUCGAAUAGGUAAGGUGGUAAGAAAGGCCCUACGGUCAUCAGUCUAUAGUGAGGGAACGUUUCCGCCGGAGCUUAGAUCUAGAAAGCGCGAUGAUCAAUGCAGGGGAGACUAGCCGAGAAGUUCCAUCGUAGUGAUGCGAUUGAGAGUGGUUUCAGAAUCGAUCACGACUGAUAGCUUAUCAUCUAUGGGCUGACGAAGCUAUUCAUCAUCAGAAUCAGAGCGUCAGUCACUGUAGCCAAACUCUUCAAGAAAAUGGUCCUUAUCAGCGAUCGGGCCUUGCACGGCAGUCCAAUUCUUCAGUGGAGCAUUUUACUUCUGGAUUAUUCAGCUGUCAAUGCAAACCCCGUGCAAGACGCUGGAGCCUUCUGUCAGCUUUGAAGCCCUUGCUGGUUUUUCCAUCAUCCAAUCCACAAUAAAUCGAAUGAAACCUGGUGAAAAAGAAGGGAGCUUUGCCGUGUGCAUAAACAAGAGAAAAAGAAGAAGCCUAGAAGCAUCGCGAUAAGCAGCAAAAAGAUCUGCAUCCUUACAAAUCCGCUAAAGUUACUUCAAAAUGUCCCGAGACUAUUUUAAAUAACCUUGGGUUAAAGGUUAUCAUCUAGGUGAAAUAAAUCUUUGACAAACCUAUGUACACCAGAAUAACUAAAUCGAAAGAGGCCGAGAGCGAAGUGAACCUGAUUGACAUAUUUUGCAUUGCAUUGAAUAAGCAAUUUCUGAACUAUCUACGGAUCCAUUACGUCGAAUUCGAAAAAGGGUGGCGAACGGAGUGAGUAGAAGGAGCGCGUGUAAGAAGAGUAACGGGUGACUACGAAUUGUGAUCAGGAUACGUAGCAGGAUUAGGGGGGAAGACUAAACUUUCGUACACCGAACUUGUGGGGAGAAAAGGAAGCUGCUAGGGUUUUUUCGAAAGAAAAACCCACACUUCGGUCUCACCUUUGAUGGGGAUUUUUUUUUCAUUUUCAGAGAAGGGGUCUUUCUUUGGUUACCUUUUUCGUAAAGUCAAAGCGCCUCACCACUAGAGAUGAAGUUGACGCCAUAGGUUAAGGUAAGGCUAGAUGGUUCUUAACCGUUUGUAGUCUCACAAACACGGUGUUAGGGUAAGUAGUAAAACACGAGAUCCCACAUAAACGAAGCAAUCUUUAGCCUCCGUGGGGUAAAACCAGACAAAGGUCUUAGUCUGUUUUAUCUGUCUUGGAGUGAAGGGUACAAUUUCUGCUCGAGAUACCAGAAAACUAUAGUAGAGAAGAAGGGGGAGUUAGGGGGCUAAAGCCUCUUUCUUCUCUGACUCGAUUUGUGGGUCAUCGAGUAAAAUGAACUUAUUUUAGCUUCUCCUUGUUUUCUCUAUUCUCAUCUAGGUGCAAGAGAGGGUCAUUCUAGGUUUCAGACUACCGCGAAAACUAGACGUUUGUCUGAGUAUCGUAAACUUCUUUCUGAUAUUUAAGUUUUUCCGAACCAUGAGUACCUUUGUGCUUGAAUACCAUAUUCUCGUCUACUCUAAUAAUCUUCUUGGAAUAAAUGCUUCCAUCUUUUCCAGCUUCAUGUCCCCAAAAGUCCUCCGUAAAACUCUCUCCUAAACCACCUCCAACUAGAUGAGCGGUGAUUAGGGGUUUGGUAAUGCCAAAUCUGCGUCUAGACUCUAGCUGACCGACACUUGUCGGUAAAUACGAUUAGGGUUAGGCAGUAGGUUUCUCCUCGCCUUUCGGGAUUUUUCCCGAAUUUUGUACAUCUUAUCUUGUAAUCAAACUCGUAUGAAUCGCGGAUCGAGAAAGACGAAGUCACCACCGUAGACGUCGUAAAAUUUUUCGAAAUCAAAGACGGAGAGCAAGACGUUUAAGCAUAAGUCUACCCAUCCUGCCACCAACCCCUUGGCUUAACUCCUAAGCUGAACUCAAUGGCUAGAAUAACUCCGACGAUAUUCGAACAAACCCAACCACAAGUCAAUAUCUGGUAAGUGGAACUCAUAAGUUGGACAGACCAAUAGCGAGUCGAGGUAGGGAUGAAAAGAGACAAAAGUUGAUGAAUAAAAGGUCCGGGAACAAGAGUGGCGCAGUCAAACAGAUCGACAGGAGGAAGUGGAAAUCUGAGCAAGCAAGUCGUCUCCGCCUCGCUUGUUCUAGUCAGCUUUAAGGAACAGACUUUACCGCUGAAAUCACUCGACCACUUUUACGAAACUCACACUUUUCGAAGUACUCCGCCUCCCUCUUACCUACGGUAUUCAGAAGGCGAGAACCACUUCCACGUCGAAAAGAAAGCCUUACGUGAAGGACACGAUUUGUUUUAACCUUAACCGAAAGAUGUAAAUACUUUAUUAGUUUCCACGCCUCUCGCAUUAGUGGGCUUCGCCUCCCGAUGGAAAUAGACGAUCGCCCGAAACUUUUCCUUCAAGGCCGUUUGUUACGUAUAUAUAUUUGAACCUAUUUCUAGAGCGAUAUCUGUAUCUGCUCUUCAGAAAAAAAUCCCACCGCUUUCAACUGAAUCAAACUGCCACCUUCUGUCGCCCUCCGGGUUACUAUCUUCCACGGUUCUCGAGAACUUCUUAUUCCAGACUAUAAACUCAACUCUUGGUCUUCUUCGAAAUAAAAUAAAUCUUCAUAUGCUCAACUAUUGUCUUGUUCCUUGGGGUUGGUUGAUCUCCUUAGAUAUCUCAACCAGAGUAAAGUUUACACCAAAAGAAAAGUGUGAUAGCUUUACGCUCAAAGUCACUCGGGUGUAAAGCUAGUCUCUCUCGGACGGGACCCAGCAUAAUGGCCUUUCCUUUCACCAAGCCUUUCCGGGGGAGAAGUAUUCGGUUUUCAGAUUCUGAUGAUGAUAAUAAUCAUAUCAUUAAUCUCAUAUCAUUAUUCAUUCUUUAUGUUGGGAUUAAACAAAACGAUAAACCAAGUAGCUGAGGCGCGCGCUCCAGAUCGCGACAAACCAGUCGGGUAGACAAAACCCAUGUCUCCAACUUACCUUAAUUCUUAGGAGAGUGGAAAGUCGAUUAAUUAUUUCUUAUAGUUGAAAGUGAUUCAUACGACCCCAGAUCGCUUACCUUGAUCUCUCGGUCGGUCGUUUUUCGGACUAAGACAGCCGGCCUCCUACUUUUAUUUUUUUCGUGUGUGUUUUGUUAUCCAUCUCGCUCUUAGCUUGAGUGAACACAUGGUAAACCCCCCUAUUUAUGACUACGGGAAGGAUGGAAAAUCGCAGAGCGUACUAGUUAGCUAACUUAUGAGUCUAGUCUCUUGACGAAGCGUAGGAUCGCAGACUCAUCAAUCCAUAGUAUGUACUCUUAGUUUUUUUCCGUCGUCGAUGAUAACCUUACUGAUACGGGGCAUGCAGGUUGUUCGUCUGGUUUUCACUAAGAGCCGAUCGGUCUUCUCUUCUCAAGAGGAAAAGCCUAGUUCCGAAAGAAACCAAACCUUUUUCAGUUCUUCGAAGAAUAGGUGGUUGGAGAGAGAGGAGAGGGAAGAAUCGAAGAAUCCAGCUCAUCAGGAAUCAAUCUCGUCGUCAAUGGAAAUUAUGUUCGUUCGAGGGGCUCGAAAGGAUUGUAUAACAACUACUACCAUUUUAUCUCGCUAGAAGUAAGUAGGCGCAGUUCGCUACGAUGGAACUGUUUGUUUCACCAAGAAAUCUGUUUCUUCUUUCUCCUUUGAGGGCGUGAGCGUGGUACCUUACUUUCUCUUACCACGAUAUAUCGGUUAGUAAUGCAGUGUUUCCUUCCUCGAAAUGUUGAUCUUCUCCCCGAGCCCCUACCACUUGAUAGACCAUAGAAGAAAAAGAACUGAGCGUUGAGGUUAAGGUAACUAAGACCCAGACCGACCACUCCACUUGAGAGAAAUGAGUCGGUCGGAGUUACGAGACGAGACAAGUCGUUACGUUACCCUCACCACGACGAGAAGAUGGCCAUGGCCUCGACGAGAAGAAGAUGGAUAUGGCCUGGCCCCUCACGAAGAAGUUGUGGAGGUCAUUCAUUCUUUAACCUUGCCCUCCCUCAUGAUGGGCUUCUUCUUCUUCCUUCCCAUCCUUUAUUAUCUGUCUUCGAUCGAGUGAUAGUCGGUCGGUCGUCGUCACCAAGCGAGUGGCGAAGAGAGGUGAGUCCGGUCCGUCCUCGAUCGAUUCGAUGAUCUGACCCAGUGGCUCGAUGAUACGCUGGUCCGUGCCGUGGCGAAGAAGAGAUAGUCACGAGUGGAUCGAGUAGUCUCUUCUGCUCUCUCCGAUUCUAUUGUCGUCUUCUCCGUAGGUUGAUCUGGAAAGGGUAGGGUCGAUGGAUUGGAUGGGGGAUUCUAACUAACUUUUGAGCCUGACCUCGCUCGUAGGGGCCUUCGACGAUUCGGAUUCGAUAAGGGUCGGUCUCGAGUCGACCGGAUGGAAUGAAUGGAUCGGUCGGGAAGAGAAAGCAAGUGAUAAGGGUGGAACGAACGAACCGGCCCUAUAUUGGUCUAGAAUCGCCACAUAUACCACGAUACUUCGACUGGAAUAAAAUAUAUCCUUUCAUCCUUUCCGACGAAUAUAUAUAUAUAUAUAUUUAUAUUUAUAUUCCUCUUCGAAAAAGAAGUACGAUCCAAACCGCUCGAUUAACUCGGCAUCUAAUACUUGGUGACUACCUAGGACGGUUGCAGUACCAAACCGUGUUUUCCGAAUCCCAAGAUGAAGUUGAUAAUCUAAGUAUAAAUAAAAUGCGUUAUAGAAAACUCAACCACGUAUCACUNACUGGGACAUCCGUCUUUUCAGCGCCUAGUUUUGAUGGUGAAGGCUUGAGUUCUAAAAAAAAAAGGAGAGUACCAUAACGAGAAGAAAGCGAGAUGCAUAAAACAGGCGAUUCCUCCAUCACAAACCGGAAACCAGAUGACGCACUAACGAAACCAAGCUGCAUGAACUCAAGAAAUAAAGAAAGAGACCAAAUGACCAGCCAAACAAAGCUUGAUGACCUAAAAACCAUUCGAGAAGCAGGCCAAAAAGUAGUUAAUGUUGAAAUAUAAAGGCUAUUUGCAUCUCUUUUUCCUUACCUGGAAGAAGGGAAAAGCUGAUGAGGCAAAAAUUUAGGUAUUUUGCCAACUCUCCGCAUGUCGUCAUAAGGCAAGUUUUUAACCACUAUGAUCUUCCACAGGCCAACAAAACCCGAGCCAUCCAUUUUUAAGCCUUCUGAUAACAAGGUCUGCAGAGUACUUUCAUCCAAAAACAUAGCAAAGCAGACAUUUUUCUUUGAAAGUUGCGUAAUCUGCAAAUAAAUUAACAAAAUUAAAUUCAGUGGCAGGCAGUCUAUCGCAGAAAACUAAGCAUCAUCAAAUGAAGUCCUAAAUAUAUAGCAUGUAUACAUACAAUGAUUCACUAGAUAAGGGAUAAAUGGUGUUCUCUAAGAAGGAAUAUAUUGGUGGUUUACAAGACAAAGAGAAUAGGAAUGAACCUCACCAACUUCAAAAAAUAAAGGCUCUAAAUUAACCUGCCAGGUUUCUUUCUUUUUUUUUUCCUUUUUUCUCUGUUGAGAUAAAAAGCUCCAUUAUAUACACGUUUCAUCACAACUCUGUUUCUACCACCAAUUUUAGCAACAUAUAUAUAUAUAUAUAUAUAUAUAUAUAUAUAUAUAUAUAUAUAUAUAUAUAUAUCCUUUGCUACAAUUCAACAUAGGAAUCAGAAUAUACAAAUCAGGUAAGGUGAUCAUUUGUUUCAGAGCUACAUGUAAAUAAAGCAACAUAUAUGAAAUCUUGAUGUACCUGGAACUAACAAAUGUACCAAAUUAGUUAUAAAAGAUAGAAUUGUUAGUCUAAAAGCAAGAUUAAUGGUAAAGUCCAAUUGUGAAAAAACAUCUACAUUUUGCAAUUGCUUCACUAAAUUUUUGACAAAUAAUUAUUGAUAAAGUGCCAAAAAACUUCAGGGUUCAAAAGAAAAAAAGAGGGUUUUUCAGUGACAGAGAAUACAUGUCUAACCAACAGAAAGCUCACUUAAGUGUAUCUGUAAUCAGACAGAAGCUCAAAGGACUCGAACACAAAGUAAUAACAACAAAUACAUCUACUCCAUCAGAUACUCAACAAAUGUAUAAAAAAGAGCAACUUUAAGAACUUCUCUAUUCAUGGCAAAAUCUGAUGUUAAAAUAAGUUAAAAAUGUAUGAAACUGACCUGAAGAAAAGACCCGAUUCAGGACGACUACCCAAACUUUAGAAGUUUUGAUAUUGCUACUUACCUCUCAAUUCAUUUGAUUUAAAUCAUUUGAUAGUCUUUCCUUACAAACUUUGGGUGUGCCCUUUGUUUCAAAAGGAAUUGAAUCACAUGAAAGCAAACAACACAUCUAAAUGUUGUUAUAUGGAAAGAACACCAAAUGGCUCAAAUCAAAUGAAUUGAAAGGUUGGAUAGCAAAAUCAGACUUUCUAAAUGUCUGGGUAGUCGUCACGUAACGGGCAAUAGUUUAGGUCAGUUUGUGAGUUCUAGCUUGAAAUUAUUACCAUUGUAUAUUCUACAAAAAACUAUGUAAUUUAUUAAGAUACUUGUUACCUUUUUACCAGUCGGUGGUCUCAGAUGAUCCGAAUUCCCGAAAAUGCAAGACGAUACAACGACAUGGCAUUUGCUCAUGUAUUCUCUAUCUUCUUUUGAAAGAUCAAACCCAGUUCCUUCUAUAAAUCCACAAUUGAUUUUCUGAUCUCCAGCAUGAUAUGACUUCUCCCUUUCUUGAAGACUCUGAUGGCCGGCGAAUCUUGGUUCCCAAUCUUUCGAUCCUAUCGGUUGGUUUUCAACGUCUGUAUACUGCAGAGAAAAUCUGGCAAAUUUUUUAUCCACAGAAGGCUCUACUAGUUGAGCUGUGGACUGCAAGAACUUCAUCUCACAGGUUGAACCUGAUUAAAAAGAGAAGGAUAAAACAGGUAAAUUAGGCAUUAAGGAAAAGAAAAGAAAAAAAAGGCUUGUCGCAUUGAGAAAGGUACAAAUGCUACCAAUUCUUAAAUUUCAAGUAGCCAUAUUACUGUAGUGUGGCUAAGAGGUCAUAUUUAGCAAAUGCUGCAAACUUUGUAAUAAUACUAGCUACAAACUCGCAUAAGUAACAAAAAGUUAAGAACAUACAGAUAUUAAGUCCUUAACUACAAUGCACUUUGACAAGAGUACCUGAACUUCUAAUAUUUUGAUUUUACCGCAUCACCUUUUCAUUUCUUUUGACCACCAAGCUCUAUUUGAACUUAACAAUGUCCAGUAAAACAAAUACGCAAAUUUUAGUCAAAGAUAACAACCUUUAACUGUUUCCAUGAAAGAAAUAUAUAUAGCAGAACAUACUGUCAAAUAACACAAUACGCCACUAAUUAACACCACAACUAUAUGCAAAACUAGUAGUUUAACAAAUCACCCGAAAAUUUGUGCCUUUUUGGUUUUCUCUUCGACCGCGACUUCCUCCGAGAACCAGAACGCUUCACAUUAUCACCGCUUGUGCGAUCACCGUUCUUCUGCGUACCACCUUCUUCGCCAUUAGCAGAGUCUCUUUCCAAUGCACUCACGAAGGCAUCUUCUCCAACCUUAUCCACAUCAUCACCAUCAUCAUGGUCCACCCCAACACCACCAUCAUCAUCAUCAGCAACAUCAUCGUCACCAUCAUCAUCAACAUCAUCAUCAUACUCGUCAUCAGGAUCCAUCUCCUCUGCUCCAUUAGACAAUCCUUCUACAUUACCACUAAUCCCUUGCGCACUAUCCCCGUUAUCCCCAAUCUGAUCUUUCCCAACAUUUUGCCCUAACGUCAUAACCAACCCCAUCUCCCUCCUCCCACCAUCGUCCUCCUCCCCGAGCCCUUUCUCUACGCCAAUCCCAAAAACUUCUCAUUAGAUUGAAUGAAAGGGACGAACAAAGGACCUAAAGACGAGACUAUGGGGCUAGGUUUUCGUACCAUUGUGGCGGAAGAGGCGGCGGCAGCCGAGGAAGGCGAGAAGGGCGACGAGGGUGAGGGCGACGACGAAGAGAGUGGCGGGAGGGGGGCGGCGGAGGCGGUGGUGGGGUUUUCCGGCGCGGCGGAGCCUCGGUGGGCGGUGGUGGACCUGGCCCUCGAUCGGAGGGUGGUGGUCGGUGUGGGAGCGCGACGCGGAUCGAUCUCCGCCCCCCGAUUGCCGAUACAGGCUCAUCGCCGCAUCGUUCGAGCUCGCUCGCUCUACAAUGGGGAUCGAUGAGAGAGAGAGAGAGGGUUUAGGGUUUUGGAGGAGGCGACGAAGAGGAGGGAGACGACGAAGGGAAUUUGUAGUAGAUGGUGGGAUAACGAGUAUUUAUAGGUUCAUUGUUGGGUAGGUAUUGGGGUAGAUAUUAUCGUAAGCAAAAGUGAGACAACGUCCAUGGUUUCUUACGUGAACCCGGUCUAUAGACCGGGUUCGUGAAAACUCUAAUUUAAAGGUCUUAAAAUCUAGAAGGUAACAGUGUAUAGUUUUAUCCCUCCUUUAACAUUUUUUUCGAGUAGAUACACAGCUCCCCAGUUUUAAAAAAAUUUCAAAUAAAUAUAUAAGCUUAAUACUUUUUUAUUAUGUUAUUAAAACUUUACUUUUUUUUGUAAUAUUUCAAUAGAAUAAACCAAAUCUGAUGUAUUUUAUUAGUUUAGAAUUACGGCGUCAACUACUUUCACUUUCAUACUUAGUUCUAAAACACUGUAAAACUUGGCCUUGAUUUAGUUAAGAUAUGAAUUUUACAAUCCACUUCAACAUACUUCUGUCGCAACUCCUUCACUGUCAAUAUUAUUUAUAGUUCUCAGCGAACUAGGUCGCGCAUUUGUUUUGAUCGAGCUCGGAGUUGAAGGACUGAGUUCGUGUAACAGGAGUUUGUCGCUCGACUUCUUUGGAGCUCACACAGCCCACGCAGGAGAACUCGUGACUUUGCUCUCGACAGUCGCAAAGUCGAGCUUUGCCCUACGGACGGAAGUGGCCGAGCUCGACGGAGUAUAGUUCCGUUUUACAGAACACUCUUUAGGCCUUCAUAGAAACAUAAAACCAUAGUAAGAGAGCAUGCCUUUGUGGACCCGGCCCACGCAAUAAAUUGUACCUGGGCCGAAUUUUGGUAAAUUACGGCCCAGCCCAACUAUUUAAUCAUAAUUACAUAUAUACCCCCCAACGGAUUUUGUCGUUGUUAACGGAUCUUAUCCGUUACGGAUCGGCCAUGGAUCUCGAUGCGGUGAAGCGCUCCCUCGAGCUCGAUCCCGAUCCCUCUUCGUCCUCCUCCUCCUCCUCCCCUGCGGCGGAGCUCCCACCGAGCUUCUACGACGCCUUCGUCCUCCAUGGCCUCCGCAUCGACGCCGCAGAGCCCCGCCGCGUCCUCUGCUCCCUCUCCGUCCCCCCUCGCCUCGCGGUAUCACCCCGUCCCGGGAUCAAACGCCCUGUUUGGUGCCCUAAAUCUUCCGAUUCGGUAUCCUUGUUGUUUGGAGUCGCUAAGGCUUGGGGUUUCGAUCGAUUGUUGGAAGGAUGUGGUGGGAUUUUUUGCGAUGCGGUUAAUUUUUAUGUUUUGAGGUCGUUUGAUCCUCUGCAGCAGUAAUUUGUACUAGAGUGGUUGGUGAUUAGAAAACGUAUGGAGUUUAUGCUGCAGUGGAGAGUAGUUCGGCGACCAGAAGCAGUUCCUGCUUCUGCUUUUGAGGUUUCGAUUCAUUGUUGGAAGGAUUUGGUGGGAUUUCUCAGACGAUUCCACUGCUUCUGCUUUGAAUUUUAACUGCAGUUAUAUGUGAUAAGAGUGUUAGGUGAUCAGAAAAUUGUGGAGCUUCUGUUGCAGUGGGAAGUCGAAAAAAAAAAAAAAAACGUGAUUUUGGCGAAAAUGGAAGCUCCAAUUUGGAACUUUUGGUUCUCCUCCAGAGAGAAGCUUUAGUGUAGAGCUUAUGUUGUAGCGGGAAGUAAAAAGUGUGAUUUUGGCAAAAGCAGAAGCUCCUGUUUCGAAACUUUGGUUCUCCGGCCGAAAGAAGCUUUUACGGGCCACUUAAUAUCGCGUUUCUGAUUAGUAUUAUGCCCUAGCCAAUACAUUGAAAUGAUUCCUUUUUAUGUUUCUCUGAAUAAUUUAAUAGGAUGGAGUUCAUUUAAACCUCAAAUUAUUCCAAACAAAAAGAAAUUCGCCUGUAAAUGAAUUCAACUGAGUUCCUCUGAAUUGAUCUUGCUUGAAUUCUGUAUAAAACUUGGUUCCAAACAUGGCAAACAGAGUGUAAAUCUGGAUUUUUUUUGCAGAACUCGGAAAGCUACCUCCACAGCGGCGUAAUUGCGACUUUGGCGGACGUCGUGGGCUCCGCCGUGUUCUAUAGCAGCGGGUUUCCAACCAGCGGUGUCUCCCUGGAGAUCAGCAUCUCCUACUUGGACGCUGCAUUUAUUAAUGUGCGCGCCUUAUCUCUAAAUUGCGGUUCUCAAUGUUAGCCUUAUUGUUAAUCAGUUGUUCGACAACUCAUUCUGAAUAGAAUAGGAUGACUUUUAGAUUUUCUGAAUUCAGUUGGCUCAACUUUUGAAUUAGAAUGAGUAUAAUUUAUUCCUAAAUUGAAUGAAGUGCGCACUUCAAUUUGAUGUUCUUGGCUUUAUGUUCAAAAUGCUCUGCAAAACUGAAGUUUCAUUGAAUAAUGUCUUUAUUAAGAGUUUAAACUUUAAACCUGGGAGGUAGAGACAUAGGUGGAAGUGGGAAUGCAUGAUUUGUUUAGAUGCUGUGUACCAAUUAUCUUAAUCUAGCACUUCAUAUGCAGAAUAUAAUAUAACUAAGCAGAAUAUAGUAUACCUGACUGAGAAAGUCUUGUAGAGGGUUUAUUUGGGUAAGUUGAAACACCUCAACCUGUUAGUUUGAACCCCUAACUAUUCUAUUGUAAUAAUUGGGUCUUUAACCUUUGCAUUCUGUUGAAAUCUUACUCUUUCGGUUAAAUUCCGCCAUCAAAUUAGACAGAAAUAUUUAUAUAGAUGGUGCCAACUUCUGGAUUUCCCAUGCAUCGCUUAAAUUGGCAUUUUCAGCCAGUUUACAUGGAAUUUAGUGAAAAGGUAAGGUUGCAGCAAAAUGAAUACUGCUAUAUUACUUUGUCGUGUCGUAUUAUUUUCUGAACAGUUAAUAUUCUAGUUCAUUUGUGAUACGGACGGUGGAAAGGAAAACAAUGACUCUUUACUUUCUGCUGAUUGUGGUUUUGAAAACUAGCAUAGAUAAAGUAAAUCAUGGCACAAGGGUUCUUGUGUGUCAUAAAAUUCUGAGGAUGAAUUUAUUGAACUAUAUAAUCUAAGAUAGUUCAUUUCCUGUAGCCUGAUGCUUGUUGGCUUUAUUGAGCAAUUAUUCUUGUUCCGAUCCUGUUUCUUAAGUAGUUUUCUCCAUAUCAAAAGAUUUUAUUUCCAAAUUAGCCUUUGAACAGUUUUUUUUAAUUCCUUCUUUUUCUCUUCUAUCUAAGAUUAUUGUGAGUCUUAUACUUAGGCAGUGUAUCUGAUGAUUUGACUAACAUCAGAAUAUAAAUGACUACAAAUUAUGCAGGAAGAAAUUGAGAUCGAGGCAAAACUGUUGCGAGUCGGAAAAGCAGUUGGGGUCACCUCUAUCGAGUUCAGGAAGAAGAACACGGGGAAGAUAAUAGCCCAGGCGCGCCAUUCCAAGUAUCUCGCAGUUUCUAGCAAACUGUGAGGCCUUCCUUUUACGCCUUGUAUUGAUGAUUCACAAAGUUGAACCCUAUUACUCCCAACUAGAUAGAUUUAUUUGACCUGCGUGUAAUUCACAAUGAAAAGGCAAUUAUUAUGUCGUAUAUCGAUAGGGAUGAUGAUGCUUUAACUGUAAAUCCUGCUACAUGACCGAUGUUUUUGGGAGGAAGUUACAGUUCUCUCAUCAAUGAACCAAUUAUCAUAUAUGGAAUCAUAUCUUAUGCAAGACCAUAAGUUUACUUGGUACUGUGUCCUGUUAAAGUAACAGAUGUAAACAUCACAAUUUUUUGCUAUUCUGUGGUUAAGUAAGGAAGGUAUUUUUCUGAGACUUGUGCCGUAUAAUGCUUGAAGUAUUAACAGUGAAUCUCCUCAAUUCACACAGAAAAGUUUGUCAGUGUUCUCAAUUUUUAGUUCUGCCACCUUAUCGCGAAGUCAAAAGAUCUUGUGCUGCCAUUGGAACUGAGAGAUUGCUGAAAUAUAAUUGAUUUUGUCUAUGUUAUUUAUUCAAACUUUUAAUACAGUUUCUUCGGUUGUAUUUUGUAUCCUUGUUAAACAUUAUGCUAUAAGCUGGUUAGAUGAUAAUGUUGCUAAAAGAUACAAAGUUUUCGAGUAAAGCUGGAAUACUUGUUUGUGUUAUUUCCCCGAAUGGGGCAUUCAAUUGAUGAUCGACGCUGUUAAAUGCAAUCUGCUUUAUUUUUAACUCCUUAAGAAUCGAAUUUUUUGUGAUUUUGUGAACUUAUUUGUUUGGUGAUAAAGUGGUAUUAAAUUCAUUUUAUAUUAGUCGUUAAAAAUUAUCAAUUUUGAAACCAUUUGUAUACUAGCCAUAUGAUGCAAAAAAAAGUCGCAAAAUUUGAAGAUGCCGAUCAUCGAUCAGGAUGUCUUGGAAGUGUUCUAUUUUCUCUUGGAAGUGUUCUAGCUUUACUCCAAAGUCUUUUGCUAUUAUGAAAUCAAGAAUUAUUUAUCAAGUUAAAAGUUCAUAUCCUCAAAAAAAAAAAAAAAAAAAAAGAAAAAAGGAAAAAUUCAUUGAUCUAUUUUUAAAUCACCCUCAGUUUUUGUCAUAUUAAACCAUUUUUUCCACUAAUUGUGGUCAUAAUAUACUAAUCAAAAGCACCUUUUUUAUUUUUUUUUUAGAAAAAAUAAAGGUGAUUAUAUUCUAUGAAAAUAGGCUAAAAAAAAGAACACAUCAAAAGAGCAUUCAAACUCCUCUAGAGGAGGGAAGAGUCAAGAAAGGGACCCUCUCCCGUAUCCAACACUCCAUUGAAUAAUUCUAUGUUGAAUUUCUUCAUGUGGACCCCAAUAGACUCUCAUUAUUAUUCUCUUUCUUUUUCUUCUUUUUUCUUUUUUCUUUUUUUUUUUGAUUCUGUAUACAGGUCUUUGUAUGGAAGAUUGACUUGAAGUUGGGAUAUGAGUUUCAAAUUUAAGCCGACACGAGUGUUCAAAUGUUGAACAUAAUAUGUCUCAUUUUACAUGAAUCCGAGACCGGACGAGUCCUAAGUUUAAACGACAACAUAAAUUCGAAUGCCGACCUUAUUGUUGGUAUUUAUAUUGACUUAAGGGGCCAGCAUCUUGCCUUAUGGCGGAGAGUCAGGUUGUGUCUAGUCAUGUUUGAUAUUGCGGAAGGUCGAAUUGGAUCGGGCCAUGUUCGAAGCAGCGAGAGACCGGUUGGGCCAAGUCACAAAUUGAAACUCAUAAGCACUAUGCUUAUAUGUUUUAAAUGAGUUGAUUAUAUCUUUUUGACACUCGAACUUUUAGAAUUAAUGGUUAGCGUCAAUGGUCUGACAAUUUAGACAUCAAACAUCGGACUACUGGUUAUGUUACUAUUGUAGUGCUUGGAAUUAGAUUUUUUUUUUUUUUUUGGGAACAAGUCCACAGGCUCUACCUAUUAUUCAUCUUAUUACAUUUAUGUUAUUACUCUAAAUCAUUCUAUUUUUAAACGAGUAUGCCGUGUAGAUCGAUGUUUCCGAACCUAUUUACCAGUAAUGUGGCGUAUCAACCAACUGCGCUAAAUAGUAAUAGUAAAAUAAGAAUAUCAUAUGCUAGGAGGAGACUUUUACUGUACUUGGUAUUUGAAAUGAUGCACUUUAUUAACUUACUUUUGACCUUUUGCUUGAACUUGACCUAACAGAAUCAAAUGAUUCUGAUAUUUCCAUUUCACACUUUUCAUGCCCACCAAUGCUGCUAAUUGCUUUUCUUUUUUUUCUUUUUUCAUACUCAACACUAUGAUUUUACCUUCUUUUUCUUCUAUACCUCUACUAGGGUUAAAGUUCAAUCUGAAUUUGAAUUUAGUCCUCAUAUUUUUAAUUGUAAUAAUUUAGUUGCUGAUAUUUGGACACCCAAUUUUAAUUUAGUCAUCAAAUUUUGUAUUUAAAUCAUAUCCUAAUCAUUCUGUUUUCAAAGGAUUUAAUUAUUGCGCAUACUAAUCAAUGCUUCUUAGAGUCCAUUUGACUUUUCUUACGCUUCUACUUUCACCAAAAGCAAAUUUUAGCUCAAGUGUUUAACAAACUAGAAAAGUUAAAGCUCUUACUACAAUAGGAAGCAAAAAAUAAAAUUUUAAGGCUCGGCUUUGACGCUACUCCAGAAAUAAAGCUAUUAAUAUUGCGGUUUGUUCUGAUACCGCUAUUCUGAUAAUAUUUUACAAAAUAGUACUACAUUCUAAAGCGCGAACAAACAAUUACGUAGUGCGCCCCUUAGUUCUAAUAAACAACAAUUAAAAAGUCGCAAAGUUUAGCUUAAUAAAGACCACAAAUGAUAAAACAACUAUGUAUUGCUACUCCCUAAUAAUAAGUAGAGAGAGAGAGAGAGAGAGAGAGAGAGAGAUUCAACCUUGCACUUUAAUUAUUCGACUCUUAACACAUCACAUUGUAAUUCUAACUCAAGCAUAAAUUAAACUUGUAUUAACAAUAAGAUAAUGUUGGUUAUUGCUAAAUGUUAAAAUAACAGUACUAUUAUUGUACAUCGAGAUCCUAAAACCCAUAUUGUUAUUAUUAUUAAUUAUCACCGUCAAACACGGCGUGUCGCGUCCGCUCAAACACACACGCAGGCACAAGCACAAGCACAAGCACAAGCACAAACACAAGCACAAGAAGAGUGAUCACACCCAUUAAUUAACUAAGAUUGGGGAAUGAAAUCUCUUAUUAAUGAAUGAUAGAAAUUUGGGUAUAAGUUACAAAAUCUGAACUUAAAUAAAAAUCCAGUCAAAUGUUGGGCAUCUGGGAACUGCAGAAAGAAGUGACAUGUGCUGCCAACUUUAGGCCGAAAAAGAUCCUGCAACUGUUUGGGAUUUGCAGCAAAAUACAUUACUUGCAAUAUAAAAAUAUUUUAUCAAUUUUUACAAGUGAAAACAUAUUGUGCAGAUCAUAUUAACUCUGUCUUAAUACUAAACAUAAUCUUAAUAUUUCACAUAAUGCAAAUAGUUCAAUAGGGUAGAGAAUCAAAGGACUAAUAAUACUUACUGUUAGAUAUGACUCAAAAUCUAUUUCGUUGGAUUUAUGACUCGCCAACAGCUUUGCGGUGCGACCAAAUUGAGAAAUUAAAUUGUGAAGGGAAAAUAAAUGUCUGUGCUGGAUAGCGAAGGGCUCGGGCCGUCAAGCCCGAGCCCGUAGCCCACCACUGACAUUCGUCAGGGGGUGCGAGGGUGCGGGGGGCGGAGGCCCCCGCGGUACGGAUCGGAUCCGAAAUUCGUUAUGAAUUUUUUCUCUUCGUUUUUGCCCUAGAGGCGUGUGAUCGUGGUUAGUUGUAAUCUGAAGAACAUUAUAUUCCCUUUUGUUUCGAUAGUGAUGUUCUCUCCUCCCUCGUCCGUGGUUUUUUUCCUGCAAAAGAUUUUUCACGUAAAUCUGUGUAUUCUUUCAUUUCUGCUUAUGAUUUGAUAAUUUUGUGUUCGUUAUUUCGUUUUCGUUUGUGCGUUUGUCGUAACACUUACUAAUAUGUUCAAUGUAAACAAAUCCUAUGUAUUCAUAGAAUAAAACAUAAAUGGCAAAUAUUAUUUCUUUAUUAUUAAUAGUAUUUUAAUUUUCGCCGUGUAGCAAUCAAUAGAAAAGUUUUGGACCAAAUCUUUAAGACCUAAUAUUACAUAAACUUACAUGCAUUCAGAAAAAAGAAACCGUAAAAAAAGGAUUCAUAAAAUUUUUAUCUUUUUUUUAAAUGUUAAUUCGAUCAGACAUUGCUAGCUGUCAAUUCGAUCAGACGUUUGAUGCUUCAGUAGAAGAAAAACAGCGUGUCUAACGAGCGUACCCUAGUACUUGAAUUGAAACUUUUUUUUGUUUCAUUUUUUUUCCUUUUUUUUUUACUUUUUUUUGUUUCAUUUUUAAUAUUUUUUUUGGUCUGGUUUGGAGGUUUCUUUAGUUUAUUUUUGUAGCUUAAUUUAUUUUUUUUAAUGAAUGAAGUAUGUAGUAUAUUUUUUUUUUUUUUGAAGAAAAAAAAUGUUACUCUUUUUUUAAGCACUCCUAAAUAAGUAAGCUGGACAUUGUAAGGAACAUAAGACCAUUAUUCCUACAUUACAUGGUCAUGAACUGGUGGUAGACCCAUUAACUAUUCUCAGUCAACUCAGGCCCCUCUAAAUACUCUCUCUCUCUCUCUCUCUCUCUCUCUCUCUCUCUCUCUCUCUUUUCAAGUGUUUUUGUCCACAUCUCUCUCUCUCUCUCUCUCUCUCUCUCUCUAUUCAAUGUUCAUCUUUCCAAGGAGACCAACCCUUUUUAGUCCACAUCUCUCUCUCUCUCUCUCUCUCUCUCUCUCUAUCUAUUCCAAGGAGACUCUCUGUCUCUCUCUCUCUAUUCCAAGAAGACUAAACCCUGUGUUUUUGAGUCCACACCUCUCUCUCUCUCCUUCACUCUUCUUUUCUUGGUAAUAAAAACCCCAUCUUUUUCCCCCUCCUCUUCUUCCUAGAAAUAUAUGAUGUUAGAUUCAUCUUAAGAAUCAAUAGGAUAAAUGGAGGUGAACCCAUCAUCAUAACACCCCUAUCACAAAACAAAAUCCCCCCACUCUCUCUCUCUCAUCCUCUUCUUCUUCCUAAAAGAGAUGAAGAUGAACCCAACAUAAAACCCAACCACAACAACACCAAAAACCCAAUUUUUAUUUUCAUCAAAAGAACCCAAAGAGAGAAGAGAGAGGAGCUCACAUUAAUGGAGAGGUAUGCCCACAUCUCCUUCCCUUUCCCCAUCAUCUUCUCCUGCUUCUUCUUCUUCACCAUCUUCUUCAUCCAUGGCCUUUUAGCUUCUUCCUCACAACUCAAUCAAACCCAAGUGGAGAUCAUGAGAAACCUCUCCAAAACCCUCAACUCCUUAACAGGAUCCAAUUCUGAGUGGAACACCACAAACCCAGAUCCCUGCUCGUGGGAGAGGGUCACUUGCUCUCCCCAAUCCUCUCCAGAUGCUGCAGUGACCCAGCUCUCCUUCUCAGGGCUUGGUCUCUCCACCACCAAAAACUCCUCCUUUUCCACCCUCCUUUUUGAUCUCAUCUGUGGCCUCAACACCCUGGAGCACCUGGACCUCUCCCUCAAUUCCAUCACCACCCUCCCCGAAUCCUUCUUCGCCGACUGCGUCGGGCUCUCCGGAUUGAAGUCCCUGAACCUCAGCUACAACGGGUUGGAUGGAGCACUUGGUAACUUCUCAAACUUUGCGGGUUUGGAGACUCUGGAUUUGUCCUUCAAUCACUUGACAGGGCCUGUUCACAACCAAUUCGAUUCGCUGUCGCGGUUGAAAAGCUUGAAUCUUAGCUCCAAUCGCAUGGUGGGCACAGUUCAGAGCUUGCUCGGCGGUGGUAAAGUUCUCACCUUGGAAGAGUUGGUUCUCUCCUCUAACAAUUUCAGUGGAAACAUACCCAAUUCGGUCUCCGAGUACGCGAACCUCACUCUCCUGGAUCUUAGCCAGAAUAGCUUUAAUGGGUCCCUUCCUAAUGGCUUCGGAGAGUUUCCGAAGCUGGAAACCCUCCUCCUCUCCUCAAACAACCUCGUCGGGGAUAUCCCGGCGAGCUUAUCCGGUAUCGCGACGCUCUCGCGCUUCGCGGCCAAUGAGAACAAGUUCUCCGGGACAAUCCCCGGCGGGCUCACAAAGUACAUGAGGAUUUUGGACCUCAGUUACAAUCAAUUAGGCGGGGAAAUCCCUUCCGACCUCCUAUCGCCGCCUAGUUUGGAGUCGGUCGAUCUCACCGGUAAUCAUCUUGAAGGGGCCAUCCCCGCAAACUUGUCGCAAGGGCUUUAUCGUCUUCGACUUGGCGGGAAUUUGCUCAAUGGAACAAUUCCGGAGGCGAUUGGGCUACUCUCGGGCUUGAAAUACUUAGAAUUGGAAGGUAACAAGUUGGAUUCGGGUAUCCCUUCUCAAAUCGGCGAUUGCGAGAAUCUCACACUGUUGAAUCUCGCUGACAAUCGUUUGCGGGGAGGGAUUCCAAAAGAGUUGGGUAAUCUUCGGCAAUUAGUGGAGUUGGAGCUCCAGAUGAACAAUCUUAGUGGAGGGAUACCUAAUGAGAUUUUCCAGCUUUCUAGCCUGAGCACGCUAAAUCUCAGCCGAAAUUCUUUCUCCGGGGAGAUAUCGUCGGCGAUUUCCGGCUUGAAAAAGCUUACGAAUUUGGAUUUGAACGACAACAUGUUCUUUGGAUCGAUACCCAGCUCGAUUAACAACUUGAAUAAUUUGAUCGAGCUUCAAUUGGGGAACAACAACUUGAGUGGGACAGUUCCGCCCAUGCCGAGUAGCUUAACGAUCGCUCUAAACCUAAGCAGCAACCUCUUCGGAGGGUCGAUACCUUCGUAUCUCGGCUCUUUGUCCGAAUUGGAAGUUCUCGAUCUCUCCCACAAUAAUUUUUCCGGCGAAGUCCCAAACUCUCUCACUAAGCUGCAAUCUUUAACGCUUUUGGUGCUCUCUUAUAAUCGACUCUCCGGGGUCCUUCCUCAGUUCCCUCCUUACGUGAAUGUCAUUACAAAUGGAAAUGUGGACCUUAUAGGAACCAAUGAUGGAACCGGCACUGUCACAAAGAAGAAGAGAUCGAGUCUUAUGAUCAUCAUACUCGCUAUAAUUGGUGCUUUUCUUGGUUUGGGCUUAAUUGCGGCGGUACUUCUAUAUGUGUUUUCUAAGAGAUUUUAUCGGGUGGAAGAUGAAGGUAUCGAAAUCUCGGAGAACCCUCCUCAAAUUGUGGAUGGUUGUUUCGUGACGUCGAACAGCAUCCACCGGUCCGCGAUCGACUUCUCCAAAGCCAUGGAAGCAGUUUCGGACCCGCGCAACGUCACUCUCAAAACGAGGUUUUGUACCUAUUACAAAGCUGCGAUGCCGAACGGAACCAGCUACUCGGUAAAGAAGCUCAACUGGAGCGACAAGAGCGUCCCGAGCGGGACCCACGAGAAGUUCGGGCAAGAGCUUGAAAGCUUGGGGAGGCUAAGCAGUUCGAACGUAAUGGUUCCGCUCGCUUACGUACUGACCGAGGAUAGCGCUUAUCUCUUCUACGAGAACGCGCACGAAGGGACGUUGUUCGAGUUUCUUCAUAGAAGUAAAGAAAACAUUUUGGAUUGGUCGUCCAGGUACAGUAUAGCGCUUGGGGUCGCGCAAGGGUUGACUUUCCUUCACGGGUGCGCUCAACCCGUUCUUCUUCUCGAUCUUUCGACGCUGACCAUUCACUUGAAGUCGACCACCGAGCCUCAGGUUGGAGAUAUCGAGCUUUGUAAAGUUAUCGAUCCGUCCAAGAGCACGGGGAGCCUUUCUACUGUCGCUGGAUCGGUCGGGUACAUUCCUCCGGGUAUGGGAUGCUGCAAAAUUUACCUGCUAUCGUAAUGCGGCACACGAAGGAGUGAACUUUUUUUUUUUUACCAUACUGAUACUAAAUCUCUUUGUUUUGUGAUCGCAGAGUAUGCGUAUACUAUGAGGUUGACGAUGUCCGGCAAUGUGUACAGCUUCGGGGUUAUCUUGCUCGAGUUGCUGACGGGGAAACCGCCCGUCAGCGAGGGGGUCGAGUUAGCCAAAUGGGCCCUCAGCUAUUCGACUAGGCGUGAUCAGAGAGAGCAAAUUCUGGACCCGAGGGUUUCAAAAGCAUCACUCGGCGUCCGAUCUCAAAUGCUAUCGGUCUUAAAGGUCGCCCUAGCCUGUGUCAAUUUAUCUCCCGAGGCGAGGCCGAAAAUGCGGCAUGUGUUGAGUAUGCUAUUCAACGCGAAAUGAGAGUUGUUUGUUUUCGGGGUUUCUCAAAAAAUUUGGACAUUACCUAGCCAUACCCUAUGUUGGUGAUAGUUAUGUGGGUUUGGUUCCUUGUUAUAUCGUAAUAUAUACCUUGAAUCCUUGUAAUAUAAUGUGAUAAAAGAUAGUUUUGCCUACUUAGAAAUUAGUAUGGAGAGAGGGGUGGAUUUUGGUGGAAAAAUGUAAUAUGGGAAUUGAAGCAACUUGAUAUGAGCAUCUUUGAUGUUGAAAUUUCAAAGUAUAUUUCUAAGUGCUGAAGCUUUAAGCAGUGAUUGAAAUUUGAAAACCACGGCCAUGGAAAGAUGUAAAUUUGAAGUAUAUUUCUAGGUGCCGGAGCUUUUAAGUACUUAUUUUUGAGUCUAUGCAAUAUAUUGAGUUGUUUGCUUCUUACAGAGUCUCUGCAAAAGUGUUGUUUAAUUAUGAUGGGUACUUACCUAUGUUAUGCUAUCACUACCUCUAUGCUACUCUAUAAGACCUGGAUAUCCUCAAUAAUGAAAGCUAUGAUCCCGCGCCGUAUUGUGGUGAUUAAAAGCAUCUGCUUUCAUACUUUGAAAGGGCCAAAAAUUCUAAAAGCGCUUUCAAUAUUUUUCUCUGAUGCUAUAAAAUUGUGGUGGGUAUAGCAUAGCAGCAGCCGAAGAAGACGACAGCUACAUGCUCUUUCGGUGGCAGUUUUAAUCUUAACUUUACAAUGAAACUCGCCUUUCUCACGACCAAGCCGAGCUUCAGUAUAACUAGAAGCUGCAACAUCGAGCGAUGUCGAGUACUGGUAACUCGCGAGAGCGAGCGAUUAGCUCAGCUAACAAUUCGACGUCCUCGACUUCUCAGUGAACCAUUUAAAACUUAAUUUCCCUACCUUGAUAUAGAUAUACACCUACAAAAUCUGAGAAGAUGAAGUGCAGAAACGAAAAAGUGAGCAGGGAAAAUUUUAGCACAAGCAAUAAGCUCUCUCCACAAGCAAUAUCAAAAUUGAUACAGGAAAAUACACUUUGUAGUAGAACUAUGAAUCCUGAUUAUUAUUAUGAAUACAUACACCAGAAUUAGUAACAAAGGCUUCGAAUUUAUACAUAUACCUCGAUGAUUAUGUUCUUUCUCGGUAAUUUAGGUUCUUUAUGCUAUCAUUUAUCUACUGCUAAUUUCUCAUACCACUACUAAAUCAAACUUACAGAAGAGUAUUUAAGUAGAACAAUGUACUACUUUUUAGAAGCUGGGGUUAAACUUGAGAUCCUUCCAUUCUUCCAACCACAGCCUGAAGCUCGAGCGCGGGGCCAACACGUCUAUCGACACAUCUUUCCUCUCCACCAAUCGCUUCGAGUAACAAUCAAAUUCAUUCAACUUUUUCCUCAAUUGCGCCACCUUCGCAGGAUCACUCUGGCUUCUCAAAUCAUCCAGCCACUCCAUUGCUUCUUCGACCUUCGCCCAGAAACACGAAUCUUGAGUCAACCCAGCAAACUUACUCCUCUUCAUAUUCGUGGUAUCAACACAAUCCUUCUUCCCUUCCCACCACUUAUCGAAGAUCUCGUACCUCCUUUCUCUCCCAUGAGUCAAAUAAUGGCCUUUAGUCUUGUGAUACCGGCUUCUGUAAUACUCAGCAAUGUCCAAUGGCUCAACCAGAAGCUUGUAGAAUUGAGCUGCAUUAGCCCACUUGGCUCUUUUGUGGAAAUCAUAAGGAAGUUGGUUGUUUUGAAGCAUUUCAAUCACGCUGUCCCAAAAUUUAGCUAGUUUUAUUCGGUUCAUGUUUGCUUUGGAGUCCUUCUUGGCCUUCCUAAGCUUGAAUGCAUCGUAGUAGCCCAUGUCGUCGUCGCAAGAGGUCUUGUACCAUUCGAUUUGAGCCCGACAUGGGGUUAUUUUGCCAAGCCUGAUUGCUAGAUUGGCACAGAUCAGAUUAGGACUUUGGCCCAUCCUCUUCGAUUGUUUUAGGCACUCGCGUGCAGCCAUAGCUCCAAUGCCCUGUUAGUCGUUUUACAACAUACCAAUCAUCAAUAAACCUCUGCUUUUAUAUGCACAUCCAAAGAAUCAACUCAAGCUGAAUUAAUUAUAAAGUUAGCUCCAAAAGUUCGACCCCGAUUUCAAACGCGUUCAUGGAGCUUCAACUUUAACAAUGCUGUCUCGGAGGUUUAUCCCAAGUAACAAGUACUAUGCCACAUGUCAGAAUCAUCGUUAGAGUUUGUUGACAUGGCAAUUUUUGAGCUUGGCCUUAGCAGCGAUUAUGCCGAUGUGGUGUUUUUCAGACAGUAGGCUAACUUGACUUAAUUGUUAGGUGGAUCAAAAUUGAGGGACCAAACUAUUAACAUUGAAACUCUAAGGUUGUUGUUGAAAUCGGGAUCAAACUUUAGGGACUAAAUUUGUCAUGAACUGAUUCAUAUUUUUCUUGCAAUAUUUGGUUGAUGAACACACCAAGAAUUGGGUACUAGAGGUCCAAGAGUCCAAAUCUUUUUCAUGCAUCAGUUGGCCAUUUAAUCUAAAACUUUGCGAUCUUCGUUCUUGAAGAAUAAUGAAAGGAGACCAAUAAUAGAGAUAUGAAGGAAAUAGACUACCUUUACUCCGAUACCCGAUGCCUCGAGUGCGAGUGAAAUCCCUGACUCGUAGUUUGAUUUGGGGUCCUCAUCUUCAACGGAAAUUCGCUUCCUCUUUAGCAAGUUUUGCGAGAUAUUCACUACAAGAUCACCAUAAGAAAGAUGCUCCUCGAUGUUGGAGUUUGACUGCCAAUUAGUUACGAAUGUCACAUAGAGCAUCUGUGCCACUGCAGUUGGAUUAUCAAUGCACACCAUUCCCUCCAUAGAGCACAAACCGUAGUUCCCAAAUGGCUUGUAAGGGCUUCUGUCAUAAACCACAGCAGAUAGCUUCCGCUUCUGCUUCUGCCCGGUCACGGCAGCAGCAAUAUGCGGAGAUAUAAACUUAUGCAGUUCCAUCUUUUCUUCAUUAGGUGCAUGCAUUGAGAAUUGCCUCGACUGCAAGUAGGUUCUAAGACGAGAAGAAAUUGAGUUGAGAGGGCAAAAGAAGAGCCUUGGCAUGAAAUCGUGCUGUGAGACGACGUGGAAGAAGUUACCAUUCCAUCUUUCUCUAAGAAUGGCUCGAGAUAGAGCCUCAUUUCCGAGAAGCGGACUUCCGAAGGUGACGCAUAAGAGGGAUUUGGUGGUUGAAGAAGUGAAGCAGAACGAUGAGCAAAGGAAGUGAAGGGCCGCAAGCGAAGCGACCGCACCGCCCAUUGCAUGGCCUGUGAAUACCACUGAUUUGUCUUUGACAUCAUCCAGAAGCAUCUAACCAAGGAGAGAAGAACGAAAUCAAGAUGCAAUUUGAACUACAAUGUAACGUCACAUACAUUAUUAUUAUGGUAUCUAAAGAGCUAAUUUGGCCCAUCUAGAGCUUUGUUGUCUGAGUAGAGUUAUUUAAAAUACUAACAACUUUUUGGUUUAAAUUGUCCCAACAGCUUAGAUCAGCAACGAAAGUAGAAGGUCCACACUGGAGCUUCAGCUUUCGGGUGCAGAAACUCAUUUCAGCUUUAAGCCACAGCAAAAGCUUGAAGAUUUUAUUUAUAAAGAAGAAAAACUUUCCCAAAAGCCAGGCCAAACUAGUAACAAUUGUGCUUGAAGAAGUUGAAAAGGAACAAUUUAGAUUGAUUCAGUCCUCAAAGUAGAAUAAUAUACAUAUGUAUAUGUAUCGUUUUGUGUCAAAGAAGCGUAACUGGAAAGCUGCAUCAAAAAGACAAUUUCAUCUCUCAGCAAAAACCAUAGAGAGAAAUCAUUUUUGAGCCCUUAUAAACCAACAAAAUCUGUAAGUUGAUCACUUUCAUGUGUUCCUGGAGGAGCUUUUAAGCCCAAAUGAUUGCAAAAUACAAAUAAAAUCCUCCAAAACUCAAAUUGGUGAAAACUAAUUGUCUUAAUGCCUAGUUGGAUUGCUUCUUCGAUAAAGACAAAAAGUGAAUUGACAAGAGAAACCAAUCAUUAAGUUGAAGGGUAGUUAAAUGUCCCAAAGCUAUGGCCUUCCCCAUCUGGAGGCCUACACUGUUAAUAAACCCUAUUUUGUUGGCUUGCGGCAGCGGCGUGGCACUUAUAUCUCAUCAAAUCUUAUCAAAAAUGAAUUAUAGGUUACGUCACCGAAUAAAAGCUCAAAAUAGGCGAAGUUACGUGCCAAGAUCUCUUAGGCAUUUUGUCGAACAUGUAAAGUCUCUUUUUAGCUACAAAAGCUGAAAAGAGUAGAUACCUUGGCAUCCAACCUUUUUAGGGUAUUUUGCAUGUAUAUCCCUGCAAACAUGUAAAAUUGCGCAUGCACUCGUGCGGAAUUGAUUAUUCGAACGCCCACCUCCUUAAAUUUUGUUUACUUGCACGGGUAGGUAUGCCAAAAACAAUUAUUGUUUUUCUCAUCAAAAUGGUAAAAUUUGAAGCAAAAAUCGCCAAAAUCACACUAAGAUACUAAAUUAGAUUCGAGAUCUAAUUGUCCCAUUAAAUUAGAUUAAAUUGCUCAUCAACAUACACGAACCACCCAAUUGGUUCAGCAAUUAGGGUUUACAAACCGAUCAACAAAGAUUUGAAAGGGGCAAAAAGGAAAGAAGUGAACUUACUUGAUACUCCGGUGUCUUACACAAGGCGACAUAGAAACGCAAAGCCCAAGCUUGCACGAGCACCUCCUCCUCCCCAUCCCCGCCGCCGCCGCCGCCGCCGCCCACAAGCUGGGAGAAGAGCCCUCCACCGCCGCCGCCGCCGAUGGGCACCGGUCGGAGCGCGUCCCCUCCCGCGUCCGCGGCCGCCGCGGCCGCCGCGGCGCUGGCGCCGGAGAACGCGACGUGGACGGCUGCGCCGCCGCCCCCGCCCGGGCGCUCGGCCACGAAGCUCCUCGGCCCCGCCGCGUCCGCGCGCGCGCACGCGCGCCACGCGUGCCCUAGGAGCGGGGACGACGCGACGAGGCUCCCCAGCACGUGGCUCGUCUCGAACCUUCGAAUCCCGCGCAAAAAGAAACCGUUAAGAGGGCUAAACAAAAAUUCCGAAACUAUUCCACGCCCUACACGUGUUCGAUGAAUUGCGUAUGUGAGCGAGAGAGAGAGAGAGAGAGAGAGAGAGAGAGAGAGAGAGAGGGAGCUUACAUGGAGUCGUCUUCUUCUUCUUUGAGCGCGUCCAUGGCGAAGAGAAGUGUGAAUGAGAAGUAUAGAGAGAGAGAGAGAGAGAGAGAGAGAGAGAGAGGUGAUGGUGGUGAGUCUAUCUCUCUCUUCUUUUUGUUUUUUUUUUUAUUAUUAUUUUUGCAAUCACGAAUUUCACGUUCUCUUAUGUGUUGUAUUGGGUUGGGGGGGAGUGGGACAAAGACUUAGUUGACCAAAGUGAGUGUGAUUUUGACAGGCUAACAAGGAAGCGCAAGGAAGGAAAGGCACAAAUUGUUGCAUGAACUUGGUCCGCCACAUUACUCGUGAACCGAUCAGUGAUAUUUUCUAGACUUAAUUACUUAUACACCCAUCAUUCAAGUUAUUACUACUAGUUUGUCCGUUACAUCAAAUGUAACGAUCUAAUUCACUAGCAACAAUAACUCGUUGGGUUCAAAUCAUCAGCCCAAAAUGUUUAAGUCCAGUUAUUAUUACUAGUGCGUCCGUUAUUUAUAAACUCAUCAGACUCUCCCACAUUAUCCGAUGUGAGACUAUUGGGAUGCUACAUAUAUUUGCAUAUAUAGCCCUUACGUGUUUGCUACUUAUUAUCGGCUAAAAUAGAUCCAAUUUUCUAUCAUAUGAUGCUAAAUUCAGAAGACUAAUAAGUUGAGUUGGGUGAGCUUAAUAAAUUAAAUAGAGUUGUCCAUAAUAAAUCUAACAGCAAGAGACUCAACAGUAGACCUAAUAUUCAGGCGAAUUGAGUAAAGUCGAGACCUAUCAACACUGUGGCUGAUGGGUCGAAACCUGUGAGUCAGCCUUUCCUUUCAACACAUAUUUUUGAAAAUAGUUCGCUAGCGCUUACGAAUCACAAAUAGUGUAAAAGCCAGUGGCGCGAGUUCAGCUCCCAUAUGUUAUAUAUUAUCUGAAUCAGUUGCGUAGGUUAGAUUCUCAUAUACUGUAUUAUCAGUGCAGGUUGCUAAAAUAGGUCGAUAAUAAGUGUCAUGGCUGCAAGCUUCGGUGUGAUCGGAGCUGCCGACUUCAUUUCCUGUCUAUUGGAUGCCGAGUUUCAAGUACAAUCUCUUCAGUUCCACACCCGAAAAAAACGAACCAUGGAAACUAAAUCUCUUUUUAAAAUUUCCGCCUUUUUGAUUUUUAAAAAAUAAUUUUUUAAAAAGUUUUUUUUUAUAAAACCUGAAAAGAAAAUUUCAAAAAAUUAAUUUUUUUUUGAAACCAAAUAGAUUGAACAUAAAAAAAUAUCCAUAGUAUUUUAUUUUUAACUUUUUGGAGAAACCUAAGAGCACUCUACCAAAUAAAAGAAAAAACAUCCAAUCAAGAAUUUAAAUGCCGAUCGGCACGGAUUGUAUUUAUUGUAUUGUGCCAGUGCCAGCAAAAUAUCGACACGAUACAACUCCUGUACCGACGGCAUAACUCAAAACCUUCUAUUUAUAAAAUUAGUAAGUAAUUUUUUUAAUAAAGUUCAAAAGAUUUGAUAAAAAUAUAUAACAAACAGUUAGAAUAUUUUGUUGCUAAAAAAAUAAAUAUUUCAUGGCAUUAUGUGUCGAUGUACAUGUAUGUUUUGUGACCGACACAGUAUCAGUACAAUCCGAUACACACCGUAUCAAACUGUAUCAGUAAAUUUUCAGCAUGAUCACGUACCAUGCUACUUAAAUCCUUAUAUCCAAUAAUAUUGCCUCGCAAGUGGGAACAAACAAUGAGCUAGUUUGAGUCCCAAUUAGACACUACCAAGUAUUUAUUGGUGCAAGCUGUGUUGAAACAAACCAAGUUCCUAAUUCCUAAGACUAAGCCAAAAAAAAAAUAAAAUAAAAUAAAAUAAAAAGAGUUAGAUACUAAAAAAUAGCAUGACACCUCACACAACAAAGAGUUGAAAUCAUGUAGCUUAUUAUGACAGCUUGGGAGAAGUUUGAAUACGGCUCAAUCUUUGACUUCUUAGCCACAAAAAUACACUUCUCCACAAUGUAAAUAAUGUAUAUACAAAGUAGUCAAAUUCAACAAAGAAUCUCUAAUUAUUUUCCAAGUCAUUAUCAUCUUACAACUCAUUUUUAUCUUUUUAUUUUUUACCAUUGGAGAAUUUAAUUGCUUAUUAUUACUGAGGUAGAUGUUAUAUCAUAAUAGAGAAAGUGUAGAGCUACUAUGUUGUCGAAAGUAUAGGGAAUUUGAUGCAUCCGACUUUUUAAUCUUUAGAUCAAGAAUUAUACGAUUGGGAUGAUUGCGGUCCCUCUAGGAUUGAGUAGUACUUCUAAGAUUGAGUGGUCCCCACAGGAUAAUAGUAUUAAUCCAAAUAUUAGAAAUGAUUAAAGGGAUUAAUCUAAGGGCUAAAUAAUCGGAAGCACCAGAUCUGAUAACGGUCAUGAGAUUUGAAGGUUAUUAAUAUGUUAUUAGAUGUCUGUUUCAUUAGAGGAAAAAAAAAAAGAAAAAACUUCAAAUACCACUCCUGUGGUUUUGCACUUUCUCAUUUUGGUAUUCUGUGAUUUAAAAUGUAUCGAUUUAGUAUCCCGUGGUUUUAUUUUUCUCUUUUUAUUAUCCAUUUCACUAAUUUUUUUCGUUAAAUCAGUAACAAAGUUAAAACUAAAAGGUACUAAAGUGAAUAUUCGAUAAAUCUAGGUAGAGUAUCCGAAAUUUUUUGUAUAUAAUUUAAUGAAAUGUUAACGGAGUAGCUGACGAAAAGAGAAUAAUAAAACCACAGAAUACUAAAUUGAUACACUUUAAAUUACAGAGUACUAAAGUGAUAAAGUAUGAAACUAUAGGGAUUGUAUUUGAAGUUUGCCAAAAAAAAAAAAAAAAUCUUAUGAUCUCGAAGGAUGUGACAAAAAGAAGUCUUCAAAAUUCUAAUCUAUAAAUAUAUUCUAAAAUAAAAGAUGAAGUUACCAGAGAUGGGGUUAUAUUCAUUCUAGAAGCAACACUUUGUUUCAACAAAGUAAUAGGAUAUUAGUGAUGGUCAAAUAACACAUGCUUUAGUUCACCACUAUAUAUUUAUCUUAAAAAAAGCUUUUGCUUAAUAAAGAAGCUCAUGUUCAAGUGGAUUGUGGACCUUCUCUCUCUCUCUCUCUCAUGGUUUAACCACAUUGAGGAACAAUUGAACCACUACAAGAUUCUUUUUUUGUGCAUUAUUGUUCAAUAAAAGUGUUAUUUGAAUAGUAUUUUUAGGAUAAAUAUUUAAAGUAAGAAGUAUUAAAUUGAAGCGAGCUUCUGUUUUCGAAUCUCAGAAUCUCAUUUCUGAUUUCAAUACAAUAGGAAUAUUAAACCUUUUUUUUGUAUCCAAUUUUUUACUGAACACGACUGCUACUGAAAGCAGCAGCAGAAGGGCGACUAAACGCGCGUUAAAUCUAAUUUUUCGAUCGAUGCAAAACGCCAAACUAUGUAUAUUAAUAUAGUAGUUUGAAAAGUUCUCUUAAUAAUUAAUGAUCUUCUAAUACCAAAGUAAACUCUCUAUUUGACUUGAGUCAACAAGUUUAAACUUAAUUGUAUACUUAUACAUAAAUCAUUUGUGCCAAAAUUUUGAAAGCUAAAUUUCUCCAUCAAGUGAGCUUGGAUUAAAUUGGGGCUUGGACCAGAGAACUUGACUUUGACCCACAAGUCACGUGACUCACGUGCCAUGACAACAAAAGAUACUUCACCCAAAAUCACUAAUAUUUAUGUCCUAACCAUUUAUGUGUGAACAUGCAAAAAAAAGUACCAUGACUUUAGUUUCUAGAAUAAACCGUGGCCGAGACGUUCGAGGGUAAAAUGGUCAUUUCACUAAUUUUUUUUUUUUUGUGUUGAAUAUAUAACAAAAUAAAUUUGUCAUAAUGUAUCGAGGUUUGACGGUCAAUAUAGUGAUAAAACCUAAUAAAUGUUGAUUGAUCGUACAUUUCAUUACAGUUAUAUAUAUAUAUGAUUCUGAGUACUAUUUCUUAUUCGGAUAUUCGAUUCUUCCGUGAAUAUCGCAUUCGAAAUAGCUAUCAAAUUUAUUCAUUAAAAAGAGCCGAUUCGAUAUUUUUUUAUGUAUGUGUAGGUGCUAAGUUGAAUUUGAAUUAGAGUUCAGAUUUAAAAAAAAGGGUGGUAAAAUGAAAAUAGAGUUAAUAGGCUUUCGUCCGCGAUGACGGUGUUUGAUUAGAUCGGUAAGAAUAUAAAGACAAAUAAUUGUUACAGAAAAAAACUUUCUUAAAAAUAAAUUUUAUGAGUAGAACUAUUUAAAACAAAAUUAGUAUCACGAAAACAGUUUAUAUUAUUACCAAAUUAAGUAAAAAGGUCUAAAUCAUAUUACUUGCUUUAAAAUUAUUUGUUUUUUUUUUAUUUUUGAACGACUUCAAGUUAUGCCGAAAAGUUUAAAAAAAAAAAAAAAAAAAAAAAACCAAAGGUUAAACUCAAAAGCGCAACUGAAACUUUUGGUUUUGCGUAACCAAAAUAAAAAAAAAAGUUAAUUGCAUACCGCUCUCUGUACAUAUAUCGAAUGAUAAAUAUAUUUUUAUAAAGUUCAACUUUUUAUAUUUAUUCCUGCAAAACUCCUAACAUUUUCAUAUAUAUCUCUACUGCUAGGAUCCGUUAUAAAAAAAUAGUUAACCAUCGAUAAAAUACUUAACCAUAGUUAGUAAAUAAGGUAAAAUGAUAUUUUUAUCCCUCUUAUAUUGUUUAUGAUGAUAGAAAAAAAAAAGACCAUUGAAGAAUUUUUGGGAAGAUAUUUCUAUAUAAUUCUAUCAGUAGAAACUUUUGGAGAAAUAUAUUUGUGAUAGCAAAAGUAUCAUUUUAUUUAUCUUCUGUUAAAAAAUAAAUAGUGCUUUAACGACAAUAAAUCAUAGGAGCAAAUAUGAAUAUAAAAUGUUAAACUUUUUAUGGAUAUAUUUACUAUUCGAUAUAUUUAUAAUAGGGAUCUGUAUGAAAUUAACCCAAAAAAUAAUGACUCCUAUUAUUUGCUAAAUAUCUAACUAUCACUUGUAAAAUACGCAUUCAUUGCACAAGAGCUGAGACUCUUUACUCGAUUUAGGACACACUGGUAUUGUUUGAAUAUACUGGAGUAAUUUUUUUUUUUUUUUUACUAACUUCAUUCUGAAGCAAAAAAUUAGAAUCUUCAAAUUCAAACAUAUAUAUUUAGUUUUACGGUUCAGAAUCUCAUUUUAGCUAUCUACCGCAGCUGAAACAGACACAAUAUUUCCCACCUACCAAACAAUAUUCAAUUAAUAGAAAAUCACGACCGAAAGCGAAAGCAAAAGCAAAGCGAAAUAGGCCGCACUUGCGCGCCGAUUAAAUAUGAUGAUUCAAUGUAAUAUUGUCCACAGUUAGGGGUGCGUGUGACAAUGACGCAGUGGAGAGUGACUAGCAAAUUGAGCAAAUUGGGGGCACCAAGCCGCCCACGAGCAUACUUUACAGGUGGGGAGUUGCAAAUUUAUUGGAUCAAUAAAACGGAUAUAAAUGUUAGAUGUUGUAGUAGCCGGACUCAUAUAUAGGCUAGGGUUACUAUAUUCUUAUGAGUAUAGAGCCUUUUGUACUUAUAAAUUUUCGACUAUUGGAUGAAGAGAUGUGCGGUUAGGAUGAUAGUGGUUCUCUAAGAUUGAGUAGGUAGUUGGUUGAAUAGUACAAUCUAACAGAUAGAAAUAGUCAAAGAGGUAGAUCUAACGGUCGAAAACUUAUGAGUAGAAAGGGACCUAUACUCAGAAGAGUAUAAUAGCUGGAUUAUAUAUAUAUAUAUAGGGUCCGGCUACUAUACUAUUAUGAGUACGAUUGUUCUUGUACUCAUAAAUCGUUUUCGAUUAUAGAGCUUUCGAAUCGACGAUCCAUACCUUUAAACGUUAUUUACAGCAUUUAAAACUUGUAGAAAUCAAAUUUUAUAAUCUUUCGACAUCAUUUACCUUACGAUCAAGAGGUCACAAAUUUGACAAUUUUUAAUGGCCGGUAUGGAAUACUUGCUAGUUUAACGGUGUAAAAGAAUCGGAAUUUGUUGAAAUUUUGAUAGAAAAUUCUAUUCACUACCGAGAUAAAGAUCAAUAACUCCAAUCUUGAAUUGAAGGAUCUGAUUAUCCUUUUUUAGGAUGUCGUUCGAUUUUGACCGUUCAUUUUAUGCCCGCUUGAUUGACUUUAUUAUGAUUUCGAAAAUUUACGAAAUUUAUUUUCUAGAAGUUUCAAAUACUCUAGAUCAUAUUUAACGGAGUUGAUCGUCGAUUCGGAAGUUCCAUCAUCGAAAACAACUUAUGAGUACGAGGGCUCCAAUACUCAUAAUAGUAUAAUAGCCACGGCCUAUAUGGGUCCGGCUACUAUACUAUUAUGAGUACGAUUGUUCUUGUACUCAUAAAUCGUUUUUGAUUAUAGAGCUUCCGAAUCGACGAUCUAUACCGUUAAACGUUAUUUACAGCAUUUAAAACUUCUAGAAAUCAAAUUUUAUAAUUUUUCGACAUCAUUUACCUUACGAUCAAGAGGUCACAAAUUUGACAAUUUUUAAUGGCCGGUAUGGGAUACUUACUAGUUUAACGGUGUAAAAGAAUCGGAAUUUGUUGAAUUUUUGAUAGAAAAUUCUAUUCACUAUCUAGAUAAAAAUCAAUAACUCCGAUCUUGAAUUGAAGGAUCCGAUCAUCCUUUUUUAAGAUGUCGUUCGAUUUUGACCGUUCAUUUUAUGCCCGCUUGAUUGACUUUAUUAUGAUUUCGAAAAUUUACGAAAUUUAUUUUUCGAAGUUUCAAAUACUCUAGAUCAUAUUUAACGGAGUUGAUCGUCGAUUCGGAAGUUCCAUCAUCGAAAACAACUUAUGAGUACGAGGGCUCCAAUACUCAUAAUAGUAUAAUAGCCACGGCCUAUAUAUAUAUAUAUAUAUAUAUAUAUAUAUAUUAUAUAUAAUAUAGUAGUAUAUAUUGAGAGAGAGAGAGAGAGAGAGAGAGAUAGUAAGAGUUAGGCUACUUUAUAUUUUUAAAAGUACGAAGAUCGCUGUAUUUUAAAGUUAUUUUUGAUGAUUAGAUAUAUAUCGGAUUCAGCGAUCAAUUUUAUUAGACAUGAUUUAUAGUGUUAAAAUUAUUUAAAAACUAAAUAUUAUAAUCUUUUUAUUUUGUUUGUCUAAUAAACGAGUAGCUUUAAAAUGAACGAUUGAAAAUAAAAAUUUUAUAGAAAAUAGUGAUAAAAGACUUAAAUUUUAAAUCGUAAGUAUUGAUCUCGCUCUUGAUGAUAACUAAAUUUUUUUAUUAGAAUUUUAUAUAAUUUGAAUUAUUCUAUAUUGUGGACUUAAAAAUAUGUCACAUCAGUCAUUAAAAUAGUUAUAUUUGAGGCAUCUCAAAUAUUAUCGAAAAAUUAUAAAAUUUGAUUUUUAGAUAGUUCUAAUAGAAUAAAUCAUGCUUAGUGGAACCGGUUGCCGAAUCGGAUGUCUCAUUAUCGGAUACAAUUCGAAAGCACGGAGAUUUUCUUGCUUUCGAAAGCACAUAGAGAGAGAGAGAGAACACAACUACUAUACUUUUAUAAGUAUGAUCGACUUCGUACUUAUAAGUCGUUUUCGAUGACAGAGCAUUCGAAUUGACGAUCCAUACUGUUAAACAUGAUUUAGAACAUUUGAAAUUUCUAAAAACUAAAUUUCAUAAUUUUUGAUAUUAUUUAUUUUAUGAUUAAAAGAUCUCAAAAUUGAUAAGUUUUAACGGCCGGUAUGGAAUGCUUAUUGGUUUAACAGUGUAAAAAAUCGAAAUUAGUUAAAUUUUUUAUACAAAAUUCUAUUUUCUAUCUAGGUAGAGAUCUAUAACUCCGAUCUUAAAUUGAAGAAUCCGAUCCUCUAUUUUUAGAAGGUAAUUUGAUUUUGAUCGUUCAUUUCAUGCCUGGUUAAUGGACUCUAUUAUAAUUUUAAAAAAAUUAAGAGAGAAAGAAAGAGAGAGAUAACCAAAUUUUAUUUUUGUUGAUUAAUCACCAUCAAUUAUUCCAAUUUAUCAAAUCUUAGAUGAUAAGAUAUCCAUUGUAGUACACAAAGUAGGUAUAGAAUUUUGAACCUUAAUAAGAACAAAGAUCUAUUAAUUUUGGCUAUUCUAAUUCUAACACAUGCAAAAAAUAAUAAUAAUAAUCCAUUUUAUUUUAAUUUAUUUUUAAAAAAUUAUACUCGAAUAAUAUAUAAUCAAACAACACUAUAUAUUAAGAAUAAGAGUGAUUUAUGAAUACUAAAAAGUACAAUUAAAUGAUGCAGCAAUGAUAAGAAAUGAUCAAUCCCUGACUUAAUUUUCUCGUUCAUCUAAAUCAAAAAAAGAAAAUUAAAUUCCUCGAGAAAAAAAAAAGUCAAAAUUUUGGUACACUUAUCAAGAGAAAAAAAAUCCCUGAAAAAGUCAAACUUUUCAACUAAAAAUGUGAAAAAUAAAAUUAAAAUGUAAAUUGUCAUCAUGUUAAAUAAAUAUGUUAAAUAAAUAUGGUAUAUAAUGGAUUGAUUCUUACGCUGAAUUUUGAGAUUCUAUUUAUGAAUUAAUCUAGUCAAUAAAUAUUUUCUGAUUUUUUUACCAUCGCAAAUGAACGAAGAAAUUAAUAUAUCUAAACUUAAUAGUGAAAAAAGAUUUAUUGAACGUAGUUACUAUUUAUUAGCUGAAUUUUGGCCAGUUCAAUAAAUUUAAACAAUAUUGGAUACAACAAAAAUAUAGACAUAAAAAAUAAAGUUAAUUGAAAAAUAAAAGUACUAAAGGAUAGGGCACACCUUGUAGGAGCAUCAAAUUAUUUUUCUUUUUUUUAAGAGAUAGAUAGAAUGCUACCCGCUUCGUUCAUUUCAUUUAGAAAUAAACUUAGCUGGAAGUGUGAAUCAGCUAGGAUUCGAACUUGGGUCUCGGGUACCACCAACCACCAAACCCUCUGCCACGUGCUCUAGAGACGAUCGGUGAUAUAAUGAUAGAUUACUGCACAUAGAACGUAGCGAUUUUUACUAUCUUUGCUAUGUAAGCACGAGUUUGUUAAAAUAAACAAAAAAUUUAAGUGCAAGGUUAAUAUUAUUUAAAUUUUUUAUGGGCUACAAUAGAGAAAACCUUAAGAUAAAAGAAAAUACACGUUCUUUCACUUUCCUCUCCUGGUUAUCAAAAACUUAUAUUUUGGUUUAUUAAAAUUUUAAAAAUAUUUCAGAAGAUUACGGAGAUGAAAUGAUCAAAUUAUCUUACUAGUUUUAUAUAAAAAAAAAAAAAUUAAUAUAUUUCUAUCAUUUUUAUGGUAUUUUUUGUAUAAAUUAUAAGAAAUGGACAGAUGACUGAACCGUAACAGAGCAAGGCUAAAUGCAUCAAAUUGUAAUUUUAAAGGAGCAAAAUUUAAGUUUUUAAAAAUCAAUAGAAAAAGUAAAAAAAAUAGGCAUUUACAAGAAAUUUUUUAUAUUUUAGCUUUUUUAUGUGCAUGUUUUGCAACUAAGAUAUUUUCACUUUAGAAAAAACUUCAAAUACCAUUCCUAUGGUUUCGCGUUUCCUCACUUUAGUACCAUGUGGUUUAAAAUGUAUCACUUUCACACCUUGUGAUUUCGUUUUUCUCUUUCUGUUAUCCUUUCUAUUAAUUUUUUCAUUAAAAUAGUGACAAAAUUAAAACAACAACAGGGUACUAAAGUAAAAAUUCGAUAAACCACAUGAUACUAAAGUGAAUAUUUGAAAAAUCAUAAGUGGGGUAUCUGAAGUUUUUUGUAUAUAAUUUAACGGAGAGUAAAUGGAGGCGCUGACGAAAAAUAAAAUCACGUAAUACUAAAGUGAUAUAUUUUAAACCACAGAAUACUAAAAUGAGAAAAUACGAAACUAUAGGGAUGAUAUUUAAAGUUUACCCUUCUUUUUAAUAUCACUUUCCAUUAGUCUUUUUAAUAUCACUUUCCAUUAGAAAGAAGUGAUUCUUAAAGUGAUUCUUAAAAGUUAUGUAACCCACACAAGGAAUGUAACACAAUUCAACAUUUGACAAUGAUUUAAAAGUUAAUAAAAUGAUGUAAAAGUAAAACCAUGUGCUACAGCUACAAAUUGUGCUUCAUUUGGUACCAACACACCAUUUAAUUCUUUCCUGGAAAAAAAAAAUAAAAUAAAAAAUAAAAAAAUAAAAGAGGAGAGAUGCUACUCUUUUCCAAGCAAGAAGAAAAAAGAAAAAAAAAAAAAAAAAGAAAAAAAAAGAAAAGAAGGUGCUCUAUUGCAUUUGCUAGCUCAAAAUUCAACUUGUUUGAAAAUAAGGAACAGAGCUCAGCAGGUUUGAAAUUGAGCAACAAAUCCUUGAAUUUCUUUUAUCAAAGACAAUGCAAAUUAUAGUGUGGGACUUGAUUUUUCUCUUUUCCAUGCUCUAAUUAUUUCAACAGGGACCUGAUUUGGACCUGCAUAAAACAUUCUACUUUGAUAAUUUAAGCUUUCAAAAAAAAUAAAUAAUUACUUAGUUAUUUGUUAUGGUAUCAGAGUCGAUGGUCUUGGGUUCAAAUCCCACCACGUCCGUUAAAUUUAUCCUAAUUUUACCGAGAAAAAAAAGAGAAAAAUUUUCGCUCCAAAGCAGAGCUAGCAACAGGCCGAACAAGGGCGAGCCGGAGGAAAUACUAAAAAAGUUUAAGAAAUGAGAGAAUUAAGAAUAGUUACCGAAAAGACUAAUCCAUUCCAUAAGACUCGGUGUCAGACUCCUCAGACUCGUUUAUUAAACGAGCCGAACACGAGCUAGUUAAUUAAAAGCUAAAAAAUCCAGCUUGUGUUCGACUUGUUUAUUAACGAGCCAAACACGAGUUGGUUUGUGAACGGCAAGUUAGAUCGUCCGCCCUACUUGCGGUAAUUUGCAGAGUAAUUCGAGUCGUAAAUUAUAAUGAAUUAAAAUUUGAGUAUUAUAGUGUCACGUGUUUAGGGGCGUCAAUGAGUUGAACACGAGCGAGCUAGGGCCGGCUCUUGUUCGGCUCGGUUAAUAAACGAGCUGGACACGAGCUGGCUUAUGAGUUGACCAAUAAAUAAUAAGUUAAAAGGAUUAAAUUGAAUAUAUAUAAAAAAUAAAUAUAAAAUCAUCCAUUAAAUUUUGAUCUAAUAGUUGAAACUUUACAUAUAAAUUAGUCUUUUUAUAAUUGAGCUAGCCUUUAUAUUUUUAUUUUGCUAAAAAUCAAAUAAUAAAAAUAUAAAUUAUAUAUAAUUAUUUAUUUAUAUAUAUAAAUAUAAAUUAAAUACGUUAUAUAAAUAUAAAAUACAUGUAUUCGAGCUGUUAUCGAGCCGAACACGAGCGAGCUGACCCUAACUCGUGUUCGGUUCGUUUAUUAAACAAAUUAAAAAAUUUAGCUCGUGUUGGGCUGGUUUACUAAGCGAGCGAUUCGAUCUCGAGCUUACUCGCGAACAGCGAGCUGGAUUGCCACCCCUGCGCGCGCUUAUAGUUUGAGGCCCAAAAGUGUAAUUUAGUCCAAAUAAGGAAAAAAAAAAAAGAAGAACGAAAGCACAAAUAGUUUUACUCUGAAGGGCAUAAAUGCAAAAUUUGCCCCCUACCGAAAGGUCCGAAACCCCCUUCCACUCCAAUCCACUCCAAAAGCGCUUUUGGGAAAAGCACAAGCCCAAAUCCACUCCCAAAACCCACUUUUUUAUGCAGUUAAAAACCUUUCUCAGGUUCUCCCCACAGCGCACAAAAGCGAGGAAAAGCCCAGAAAACGAAUCUUCGCGAACCCUUUCGAUCCCCCUCUCUCCUCCUCUUCUCGGUACGCCUCUCUCUCUCUCUCCAAUUUGAUCUUUUUUUUCCCCUUUUUUGGUGGUUUAAUUUAGGAUUAUUAUCGUUUUGUUUGUUGCGAGGUGAAUUGAUCAGUAUGAUUAUACCGUGGUGUGAUAGAAUUAAGCAUGAUUGGGGAAUUUGAUGUGUUUGUGUUAUAUAUGGUUGUCUAUUUGAUGAUUUUUAAUCAUAUCCUUAGCAAUUUAAGGUUGUUUAGGGAUUAUGUAGCUCAAUAUGAAUUGCAUAUUUAUGGAAUUUUAUGUUAAUUUGAGAUUAUAGUGUAAAGAUAUGAUUUUUUUUUUUUUUUUUUGAUGUGUUGUUGAAUUGUUUUGAUUAGGGAGCUUGAACUGAAGUAUGAAACCCCCUUUAGGAAUCUGUAGAGGCUGGAUUUAGUUUGGUGUGUUAAAUCAUAUAAAAGUUAAAAUCGUAUCUUCUGUUAUGAUUUCGAUUUUCAAAGACGGAUUAUAGAUGGCGGUUCGUCCUUGUGAUUUGUUCACGUUCACUUCGAUUUUCAAAGACGGAUUAUAGAUGGCGAUUCUUCCUUGUGAUUUGUUCUCGUUCAUGAUAUGCAAAAGAGCAAGUCGCUUCGAAUUAUCCAGAAUGAAGCCGUUACAUGAACAAAUAUAGGAUUAGAGUUAGACUGGGACUUCCUUUAUGUAUAUAACCUAAUGUAAGAAUAUGUUAAUCACAUCUGUCCAUCCAGAACGUGCCCAGAUAUAUCUCAACCGUUGGAUCCACUGUAUCAUUAGAGAUCCCCUUGAAUAAGCACGCGGUUCACAUCCAACAUGGUAUUGCAUUAUGAGUUGACAUAAGUAGUUAUAAUCAUGCUAUCAAAGAAAAUCUCUUAUUAGAUGCGAAUUAUUAAAAGAGAAACAUGAUUUUUAUUCUAAUUUUGUCCUUCAUUCAUGAUACAACUGGGUCCUAAGUUGUGCACUUUCCUGCUACUUUUAGAUGCACCAAACUGUGUUUUUAUGCGAUCGCAAUCAUUAGGUUGUUUUUAUGUUUCUUAUCUGAACUAUAGCGCAUUUUGAAAUAGGUGCUUAAACUUUGUAGUUUUGAUUUUACUGCGUAAACAUUACUGUAUUUUUUGUGCUUCAACUUUGAAAGUUUCAAUUUACAACCUAAUGAUAGCUAAUUUGGCUCGAUAUCCUGUUGAUUUCCGCACUUCGACUUGCUACGAAUGUACCGAGACGUGUAGAAAUACUCGCAUACUACUGCCCGUACCUACACCGGUAAUAAACUGCGUGAACUUCGUAACUUCGACAUCAUGCAGUUUUAAGAUAGUUGCCUCUGAGAAUUUCGUUUAUCAACAUAUCGUAUCUUUUAAGAUCCUGAAGAAUGAAAACUAAUCCGAGAUUUGAAUACUGAAUGCAGUAAUGCAGCUGUACCAUCAUCCCUACUCGAUGAACAGCCAGAAAGUGCGGCUGGCGCUGGAAGAGAAGGGUAUUGAUUACACCUCAUACCAUGUUAACCCCUUGACUGGAAAAAACAUGGAUGCGUCGUUCUUUCGCAUGAACCCGUCAGGAAAACUUCCCGUCUUUCAAAAUGGAGCUCACGUAAUAUUUCAGACCAUCGACAUUAUCCUGUGAGUUAUCUUAUACUUCCCGUCUUGCAUACAAAUAUUAUAAAUGCCGUUCUAUGUUAGAUUAAGCUUUUGGAGAAAAACAGACGUUUUAUAUAAUUUAACACUUUCCUUCUUGAACAUUCUUUGAAUAUUUCACUUGAUCUGACAAUUAAGGCUUGUCCAUUGUGCCAGAAUUUGCCCUUCAGAGACCAUUUAGGUUGGGGUUCUCGCAGAAAAACAAAGCACAGUUUAUAAGAUAUUACAAUUUCGUUGCCCAUUUAGUUCUGUUCUUGCAAGUUUGAUCCAAAAUCUUGCUUCCUCUGUCGAUUAUUAACAGUUUGUUAGCUGCAAUUUGCUUCUAGAAUGAUAUUUUGCUCUUAAGGGGUAAAAAAAAGGAACAAAAAGAGGAUUGUAGAUGCGAAAUUUGACGAAUAAAGAGGAUUUGUCUCGCAAAAUGGUCUUUUUAAUUCAAGUUACAUUCUACUUCCAUUUUGCCGUUCCACAAAGCAUACUCAUACAUGAUGUUGCUCAACAUAUGUAGGUACAUAGACAGACUCACCGUCUCUUUAACGGGCGAAGAUACUCCUAUAAGUAGUGAAGUCAUGGCGUGGAUACAGAAAAUCGAAGGUUGGAACCCUAAGAUGUUCACCCUCUCCCACGUCCCGAAAAAGUACCGCUCCUUUGUUUCCAAAUUCAUCCGUCGUGUGAUAAUUUCCCGGAUGGCCGAAGCGCCAGAUCUUGCCAGCAUGUACCACACGAAGCUCCGAGAGGCUUAUGAUAAAGAGGAAAAGCUGAAAGAUCCCGAAAUAGUAAAGCAGAGCGAGGAAAAACUAAGCCGACUUCUUGACGAUGCGGAACUACAGUUGGAUCAGACAAAGUAUUUAGUCGGCGACGAGUUCACUCUCGCCGAUGCCAUGUUUGUUCCGAUUCUUGUCCGCAUAACUCUUCUGGAUCUCGAAGAGGAGUACAUUACUUGCAGGCCUAAAAUGGAGGAGUACUACAAGUUAGUUAAGCGAAGGCCAAGCUACGAAGUGGUGAUCGGGAAAUAUUUCAGGGGGUGGAGAAAGUACCGGACGCAUCUUAAGACAUUGUGCUUUCUUUCUGUAAGAAGCAUGUUUAGAAGGUAUUAGGGCUUUGUCGAAAGUGGCACGGAUUGUUUUCGAAGAGAGGAAGCCGAAAUGGAGUUUGUACAGUGGCAAACGGACGCGGAAUGAAUGUGGAAUGGAAGCUACAAUUCAAUAGGUUAGAUGGUGAGGAAUGGUGCUCCAGCUGUGUUGGGUUUUUUUUUUGGCGGAACCGCGAGAUUGUUUCUCUCAUUCUCCUCGUAAAUUCUGGCAACUUUGUAAUCCGAAGAACCUGCACCUGCAUUCUUUUAUUUGGUGGUGAUUUUUCAUGUAAAAACUACAAAGGAGAAAUUGGUGUUUUCAUGAGUAUUUUGUUUUCCUUUUUUUUUUGAAUACUUUUCCUUUUGUUAUUUUUAGAUGUACAGAGUUGUUGAGAGAGGAGUCAUUAUAUUUCUGAUAUUUGUGUUAAUAAUGAACUUUUGUCUCUCUUAUUCUGCUUUUUGUGACUAAUGGAAUCUUCAGAUGAAAAUAUGUAUUCCAAAAAAUGGCUCUUCCAUUGUAACGGUUGGUGCUUUUUCCUAUUUCAUCCUGCUUAUUAUUCUAUCACAAGGUCUAAAAAUCUAAAAUUUAUGUAUGGGGCAAUUUAAGUAUUUGAGUGUUUAGUUGCUAUUGUAAUAAUCACCAUGCUUCUCAAUCCACCACCAUUUUGAAAGAAUGGAAUCUAACAUUCAUUGAAUGUAUAAUUAGAAGCCCUACUGCAGUAGCAAAUAGGGAAAUGACUCGUGCUUUGAAAGCAAAUAACCCCUGGAAGAUCUGAAACCAGAGUAGUUUAACACUCCCUAAUAAGAUUUGUGCCUUGAAAGAGGGAUUCAAAUCCAAAUAGAAGUACCAGAGUUACAAAAAAAUAUAUAAUGAAAUCAGAUGAAAACACGCCAAGCAGAUGCAUUUCUCAGUACAAUCUCAACUCAUUUGAACUGCAUUGAUUAUGCAUGCUACGUUUGUAAUGAAACCAGAUUGCGAAUUGAAGCAAUGAAUCUGAAACAUACUUUGCAACUGACUAAAAAUUUCUGAAGCGCGCACACCCAAAAAGACGAAAAACAAAGUGGAAAUUAAUCCCUGAAAACUAAUUGCAGGAAAGAAGUGCUAAGUUUGUCUCAUGACAAAAACAUAUUUAGGACGGCAACGUUUUGUUCCAUCCACUAACAGGUUCAGUUCACAACCUUAAAAAAUAAUAAUAAUAAUACCACUAAAAUGUAUUGUAGGAAAAAAGAUAUUGCUGCUAUAAUAUAUUUCUGUCUAAGUGAAGCAUCUAAAAGCCACCAAAUUCAUUACCUGAGUAUAGAUGGUUUCAACAAAAGCAUAUAUGCAAGAAAACAGCAUAAAUACUUACAUGGAGAGACUAAGAUGUGGCAGAUCUCCACUUUGAAUGAAUGACGACACGGCCGAAGAAAAAUAAUACCAACGUUCUCUGCUUAUAAACAUCACAUUCAGUUAGAAUUCCGAGUGUGUAAACUAAUGUAGACAUUUUUUGAGCUUAAAUUGCACCACAGGUCCUCAAUCUUUUAGCACGUUUUCAGUUUGCAUGCCAAUGCUUACAGUUGUUACAGUUGGCAGUCCCUAAAUCUUAUCUUAUUGCUGCGAUUUUGCUCUUUUCAACAAAUUGGGCAAGAAUAUACAAAUAAUCAUCAUUAACCUGCUGUAAAAGCAACUUUCAAACAUCUCAUAGUGAUAAUGUAGGAAUUGUGAUCAAACUGAACCGAGGAAUUUAACAAAAGGGUAAGAUUACAACCAAAUGUAAAUAUUAGGGACCUAAUUGUAGCAGUCGCAAACCUGUGACCAAACUGAAACCUCCUGAAAAGGUUUGGGGUACCCUGGUGCAAUUUACGUGCUAAUCGUAGCUGGAAAAAAUUGAUCUAAAACUCCAAAAGAACACAAAUGGACUGAAAGAAAUGUUAAAAAAAAAAAAAAAAAAAAAAAAAAAAUCAUACAAAGAUAUAAAUCCACAAAAAGGAAUCAGCAACAAAUGGAUGAGUUACUAAAGAAGACGGCUAUACAAGCAUAGAAAAGGUAGAUAUUUCAAAGUCACUAGAUGCUCGUAAUCAGCUUACCUGACCCAUAGUGUCAUGCUUCCUUGCCAGCUGAAUCAGAAACACAAAAGAAAUUAAUGAAGGCGUAAAUGCUCCUGGAUGUAUUUGUUAGCUAAACCUCAUUUAUCAAUGAGUUUCAGAAAGUUGAAAGAACAAUUCCUUCGACUUAAGUAGAAAUGACAUGCCAGCCUAAGAGAUAGAUGGAGAAACAACAAGUUCACUGGACAGAAAUGAAUUACCCUGUACGAUUCAAACUGAACCAAUCAUUCUCACUGAGUUUACAACAUAAACUGAGUUAAUGAUAAAAUCAUAAACCCGCAAAUACCACCAUGUAAAAGAAUUACAAAGAAAGGAGCACCUUUCGCCCCGCUUUCAUUCUAACUUUUUCAGCUUAUCAAAUAACACCAAUGGUUACGGUAUACUAGCUAAAGAGAGCUUUAACCUAGGAUCAUUUUUUUUUUCUUACACCUUAUGAAACAGGAAUUCCCUUCUAUACCCCUGCUCAAAUUUCCCCUACACAGAAAAACUAGGGAUCAGUAUCUACCUCUAAACCCGCCAUCGUUACCUUCUCGAGGCCAAGUGGACCAACAUCGAUGAAAUUUCUGAUUGUUCCCUCUCCACGAGCGGAAAAAUGUUCUUCCAGGCCGGUUUGAGGACCAGCGUCCUCUCUCUCUUUCGCCUCUAUCCAGCCUUUCACCUGUGUAAUUUUGAUUUGCUGACUGCGUCACGUUAUCAGAAUUAGAUGUUUGUGAUGAAGUUAUAGUAGUCAGUUCGCCUCGCGGAUACGAGGGCAAAGGUGGAAAAGGAUGGAAAGGCAUUCCAGGUGCAACUUUCCAACACGCAGCUUCCGCAUCUAUCGUUCCAAACUGCUGAAUUAGGGUCAAAGGGAUGCCAUAUGAUAUGCUCAACUGGGGAAGAUAUCUUUCUUGGGGAUGCCCCAUACUAACUUCUCCUAGAGCAGAUGCACUUCCCGAAGAAGCGCCUUUUCUAGGAGACCCAAAUCCAGGUGGCACUUCUUCCUCCAUGUUUUCCGGAAUCGAGCCCUUCAAACUUGCAGCUUCCUCAAAACAACUCUUUUCUUCUCUCUCUGCCUGUGUCUUGUCAUUUAUUACUUCAACCCCAGAAGAAAUUUUCCUCAACUUUGAGCAUUGAUCUUCAUAAGACGACACAUUUGGCGAAUCUUGGUCCCAUCGACUUUUACGUUUCCUUACUCUUGUAGGAUAGCUAUCAGUGGGACCACAAUUGGAGACUAGUUGAUUAGGGUUCGAAGGGUUCCCUCCCAAGACUUCUUUUGCGCAUGUAGGUGUUGGUUGGUAAGCUGCACCACUAACACAUAUGAUUGCAUCAGAGUCUCUAACGCUCUGGUCAUAUCGGCAUUUGUAUAAUGGUGAUUGAAACCAAUUAGAGUAGGAGUGCGGUGAAUCUAAAUGCGCAUGAUCUCUGUCCGAUGGCUCAACUCUUCUUAUUGAACGAGGAAUCCAUUUAUCUCGAAAACUCCGAGCAAUCUGAUGAACCUGUAAGUGUGUAUUACAAGGAAUAUGUUGGUCAAUUUUCAAGAAAGGGUGGCAUAUGAUGAUGUUUCUGCUGUAUCAUUCUCUAAUGGCUCGAUGUGUAUUUUCCCACUAGACAUAGCUAACCGAUGCACAAGACAAGAAUUAUACAUACAUAUAUAUUGCAAGGAGAGAGAAACAUAGAAUAAAGGACUCAUAAACAGAAUCAGUAAGGGCAUUACCUGAGUGUCGUUAUGCCUCGUCAAACUCAAUAUUGAGUCCUUAAAGCUGCAAGUUGAAAUCCAAAACAAGAAGUUACAAUGCCAGGUGUACCAAAAGAAAGAAAGCUUACAAAGCUACAUAUGAUAUAAGCAUUUCAUUUUAACAGGGUAAAAAGGUGCAGUUUCGAACUAUUGCAGUUCCAGCACUGAAACGAAGGCAAUGAACAUUUCUUUUGCACCUCCUCAAUAUUCACUAGUAUGAAGAUUUUCUUGCAGUUUGUUAAGUAUAUUAAGUUUGAAGUCUAGUCCGCAAAAUGCCUAUGGAUGAGUAUCCCAUUGUAAACCCAGACUGACAUGUCAUAUUGAAAGGUCCAAGCACAACAGAAGAUGGGAUGCAGCCUCAUUAAUUGGUGCAAUAAGUAAGUCUGAAAGAUGUGAUAAAUCCUAACACUUCCUUUAUAUAGAUCUUAAGAAAUUUGAAACGUUUCCUGGAUUAUACAAAAAAAAUCAAAGAAAUAAAUCUUUAAUCAGAAGGGAAAUGCAUUUAGUGGUGAAUACAAUUCAAGAUUAAACUCCAUCUCAACUUUAUUUUGCUUUGAGAAAGAUAAAGUGUUAAUCACUUCUGCAAAAACAACAAAAAGGAAAAAUAAUAGCUAGAAAAAAGAAAAAAAAUCACUUUUCUCUACCUCAAUAUAUCUGCACAAAAUCACGGAAAAUUUUAAAAAAUAGAAAAGCUAGAGAUAACAGCUAAAAAAUCCACAACACAUUGCAAAGUGCAAUUCUUCAUAAUCAAAUCAAGACAAAGUUGACUUUGAUAAAGAGAACAAGCUGAGGCUAAGAAAGCAAUUGAAAACAAAUACCAAUUGUGUUUGAGAGAGAGAGAGAGAGAGAGUUUUUCCUCUUUAUCUUUUGUAAUUCUCUAACCUUUCCAUUCCACUACAUGGAGGACCUCUAGUAAUGUGUUCUGGCGUAAGAAUCCCUUUUUGUGCAAAGAACUCCAAAACCUACAAAACAGGGCAAUCAUUUUUAAUAUGUGGACACAAUAGAAGGCCAUCUGAACGAAAAUAUUAACAGAAGUCAAGGAAAAAGUAUUAUGUGACAAUCAACUGAUGAAAAAACCAGAGCUUCUAAGUGUUAACCUUAAGAAGCUUUCGGAUAAUAGGAAUUCUGUUGAAGUUGUUUCGGUUCUGCUUCAUUAUAUUAUGCAGCAUUUGCAGACCUGUCGGAUAGGAGAAAGGAAAAUAAAAAAUAAACAAUUUUAAGCACAUACUAACUCAUCUCACCGAACCAAUAUAAAUUUGUAAGAUACUAAUAAAGAAUAUCCAUACCAUUCUUGUUAAUUAUGUCCACCAAAACCGAGCGAGAUUUUGUUUUUAGAAGCGCAUCAAGAAUCAAAGAGAGAUCUCUUGUACUAAAGGAGAGAAAAGAGUACACCCAGGAAUUAGAUUCAAAAGACAAUAAGAAAUUAUGUUGCAUAAAUAAGAAAUCAUUCAGGAAGGCACUUCAGAACCUUUGGGAUGCACGUCCAUCACUAUCUCCUUCUGCUGCUGUUACAAACAAAAGCUUCAAAUAUCCUUUCGUAGAAUCCUGCUCGAAGAAGAGAAUUGUCAAGGAAAAACUUUAUUUUCAUACUUCCCAUGAACCAUUUACCAAAUGACCCUUAAGUAAACAGAGAUGAAUCAAGCAAGAAGUUUAUGUGUCCAAGCACUUCCUAGACUAAACAGCUUGAAAUCCCAAACGCACUAUAGAAUGCAGGGUCUGCAUAAGUAAUACUUACUAUUCGCUUGCUAAUACCUCCAUCCGUAUCCAACAACUCAUUAAGUUUUCCUUCAACUGCAUGUACAAAGCAAUUGAGCAUAUUAAAAAAGCAUCUACACAAAGCCAUAGAACAGUCCUUAUGUGAGAAUAGAAUCCUACCUCCAUCAAAGUGUCCACCACCAGAAGAUGACAAUAAUUUUUUAGCUCCACGUGAUAUUUUAGUUUUCACACUUGACUUGCUCUUCUUCGUUGGACCACUAGGUGUUGAUGAUUUUGGAACAGGAUCAGACUUUGAUUCAAUUUGUUUAUCAUCAGAAGAAUGGGCUAUUAUCAAACCGCUUCUAUAUGGAGGAGUAGCAGGUGCAGCUUCAUUCAAAGGAUCCGAUGUUUCCAAAGAUAACUCCACUGCUUCAAUAUUAUAUACAGGAGUUCUAAUAGCCGUUUCAGUGUCUAUAUUAUCAAUGCACACAAUUUCUCUAGAUUGUUGACAAUUAUCUGAAAUUUCUCCAGAUUUAUUUAGCAUGCACUCUUGUUGUAUAGAAAUCUCUUCUUGUUUCACAACAUUAAUAUCACUACCAGCAUCAAAAGCAGCAUCCAGCACAUUGAGCUCUUUUUCACCAGUUUCAUUAAUCAUUACAGGUUCGAGAUACUCUUCAUCAGAAUCACCCUGAACAAUAACUUCACUGUUUGAUGGGUCACCACCAAGAUAUCCUCGGCAUUCAGCAGACCCGCAGACACAUCUUUUGGCAGCAGCCCCAAAUACGCGAACAUAAUUGUAAUCAAAAGUCACCUCUUCACCCUGUAAGGGUAAAUGAAUCCAAGUUAAAUAACACAUGUAGCAUGAAAAUAAAAUGAAGCUAUAUGGAAUAAAAAAAACAGACAAGGCUAUAUAUAUACAUAUAUAUAAAUAUAGGCUAAAUUAUAGAAAACCUCCUUAUAAAUACCCCCAUUUCCUUUUUCCUCCCUAACUUUCAAAAACCUACAUUUCACCUCCUCAAUAUUUCAAGUUGUUGCAUUUAGCCUCCUUCAGUCACACAUUCCAUCACUAUUUCGUCCAUUUCUUAGAAUUUAUACCGAAAAUGCCCUUCAAAAUCACAAAAAUAUAUUAAAAACUUAUUUAUAGAAGAAGUAAGGGCAAUUUGGUCAUUUUGCCCUCUCCAUUAAUGCCGUGCCCUCCUGAAAACAUUUCUAAAAUUUUAAGGGGGCAAAAAUGUAGGUUUUUUAAAGUCAGGGAGAGAAAAUGAUAAAGCAGGUACUUACAGUGAGGUUUUCUGUAAUUUAGCCAUAAAUAUAUACAUUUAUCAAAAUGAUACUCUCUAUAAACGAGAGUAGUGUUUAAUUGUACAAUCUGAAUUUUUAUAUCCUGUCCAACUGUACAAUGUCUCAAUAAAAAGUUCGGGCAUUUUACAAAGUUCUCUACAGAUGAGCAAAUUAUGUUGUAUAUGCAUUUCGACAGAACAGCUAAUGACUAGAAAGGAGGAAAAACCUAGAAUAGUGGUUAGUUUCUGGUUUCCAAUCGACUGAAAGCAUCAUAUGCUAAAAGGAUUUCCAAAUCAUACCUUCUUGAUAUCAUGUAUUGCGAAUAAUCCAAUACAGACUUCUCCAUUUACCAUCCACUGUUCCAAAAAAGAAAAAGAAUUAAAAGCAGCGAAAGGAAAAGAUGAUGAUAAAUAAAUAAUAGAUAGAGGCAUAGAGCUAAUGAGGUUGACGUAAGCAAGUUUGACUAGAAACAAAUGCAUUUAAUCCAACAGCAUCAAGUAAUAAAUUCAGCUUGCGAGAGAGAGAAUUCACAUGAGCUCUACUAUCAAAUGUACAAGUCUCCUUAUUGUACAGGAAACCAAGAAUUUAAAUGCCGUGGCACGGCGUCGUGCUAGAAACUUGCCGGCAUAGUGCGUGCCAAGCCAUACCGAUGCGUGCCGUUCACAAAAAAUUCAUGUAUGCCAAGACAUAAUAGCAUGAAAUAUUUAUUUUCUUCAGCAACAAAAUAUUCUAACCCUUUAUUAUAUAUUUUUAUCAAAUUUUUUGAACUUUAUUGAGAAAAUUACUUACUAAUUUAAAGAAUAGAGGAUUUUGAGCUAUGUCAUCGGCACGGAGACUGUAUCGUGCAGAUAUCUUAUUGGCACGAUACUGCACGGUAGAUACGGUCCAUGCCGAUGGACACUUAAAUCCUUGCGGGAAACCCCCUAAGUAGUGCAUCAAUUUGUAUUGCAUUUCAAGGAAAAAAAAAUGCAUAUACUAUCAAAUGAGCAGUGAAGUAUACCUUGUUUUUUCAAUGCAAAUCCUUACAAGUGAAUAAAGAACUUUCUACACCCAUCAAAUGGAAUCAAAUUCUCUCCAAUCACACAUCUGUAGCCAUAUAGCCAUGGGUCUUUUACUACUACAGCAUAUAGCACAGAUGUAUAAUUCUUUUUCCAUUUGAUCAAUGACAUUUCAAUAUUAUUUGAUCAUCAUAAUUGUUGCUACAAUAUUCAGGUUCUUUCUCUUCAUCCCAAAUAGAACUAGCGAAAAAAUAAUCCCGAUAAUUAAUGAGAAACACAAGACUUGAAAAAAAAGAGAUCAAGUGCAGAUGCAGAUCAAGAGAACAAGAGAAGAAAAAUUAACCUUCUCUGUGCGGCAAUUAGGCUCACAACUAUGAUUGAUAAAUCUCCCCAAGUUUCCUUUAGCACAUGCAUCUAUUACCUGAUAUUAAAAAAAGAGAGUAGUUAUUCAGAAGCAAUACAAAUUGAGCUACAAAAAAGGAGCAACAAAAGGGUUUUUGAUAAAAUUAUACAUAUUUCACAAGUAUAUUUAUCAGCAAUCUAACUUUAAAGACCAACAUGAACAGAUUUUACUUUGCCUGUAAUAUGAUAUGUCAUUCCUUUUUUAAGCAUGUACAGAAAUGCAAAUAUAACUCUAGAUCAGACUGAAUCAACCUAUAUAUAUAUAUAUAUAUAGGCUGCGCCUAGUCGCCUACUAUACUCUUAUGAGUAUAGACCCUCUUGUACUCAUAAAUUUCUGAUAGUUCGAUGAAGAGAUGUGCGGUUAGGAUGAUAGUGGUCCUCUAGGAUUGAGUGGGUGGUUGGUUGAAUAGUAUGAUCUAGCAGGUGGAAAUGGUCAAAAAGGUAGAUCUAACGGCUGAAAACUUAUGAGUAUAGAAGAGUCUAUACUCAUAAGAGUAUUGUAGCUGACUAUAUAUAUAAUUCAUCAAAUAUUCAUCAAAACGAAAGGCAUAGGAAAGAUGGAAUGAGCCAAACCUCACCACCAUUUAGCGUCAUGAAGUAGAAAUGCUUCUGACCUCUAGAAGCAUAAUAUCUUUGUCGGGCUUCAUAAGUAGGUAUAUCAAGAACCUGAAUAAACAAAUAAAACAGCGCAAAUAAUCUUGAAAAAGUUAUAUCACUGGAGAUGCAUCAAAAAAAAAGUUUAUUUCCAGUGGACAGAAAAUGUAUUGCACCUCUCCAACAUAUUCGAUAAGAAACUGGCCCUGAGAUACAUCUUCUAGCAAUUGUAGCCCAAAGCCUUUCUUCCCACAGCGAAACCACUUGAACUUAGUGUAAUUACGUUUCUGAAACUGCUUUUCAGAAUUUGAAUUGUGAAACUUGAUGCAUUAUAAGAAAGAGUAAUAUUUAUUUAUUUACUGAUUAAUGACAUCUAUAACCUGCUGAUUUGAGCAGAGAUCGCCACAGGGACAGGUUCCUUUAACACACUCUAUGUUAAGCAUCCGAUUCAAGCAUUCUUCUCCACAACCCAUUCUGCCAUCUUCAGGAGGUUUGCAGUGGCAAACCAUUGUCUGCUUGUUUAAGGAUAAAACAGAUCUAAGCUAAGAAAAUAGUUCUUUUGGUACCCAAGUAAUAAUCAUUAAUCUCAGUUGAAAUCAGAAUAAAUAGCAGACUGUGUGGCUGAGAUACAAUUAUAACAAUAGAGAAGCAAUGCUCAGAGAGAACUAGGAAAGAAAGCAGAAACCCACUACAAAAGAAAAAAAAUACAAACAGCAAUAAAAGUACGGCAACAGAUAUAUAGGGUUAUUGGCUGAAGAAGAAUGAAGACAGGCUUUGUUUGAGUAAUGAAUAUUUGUAACAAUGAAAACUUUCUGUAGAACCUCUCUAACUGCUAUUUAACUUACUUUUUUUUUCCUGAAUAGGAAGUAAAAGAUUCAAAUAGUAUAAAUAGAAUAUUAACAUGAAGUGGGCCAGAAAAAACAAGCUUUAAUUGUUCUGUUUGUUGUUAAAGGUUGACGGCAUGUAAUUCAUGCUUCCAACACUCACAUCUAGGCAUCAAAAUUCCUGUGAUGUAGAAAAUCCAAAACACUAAAAGUCAACAAUGUUAAUUUGCUGUUCAAGCAAAAACCACUGUUAAUAUGAAGUGGGUGAGAAUAAUUGAACAAUGUAAAUGAAGAAACUACAGCGAUUUUAGAUAGCUGAUGUCCAUGACUUAGUUGUUACAGGUUCCAAACGAUUUGCUAAGGAACCAACCUUUUUUGGCAUUUUGCAUUGCCGAAAGCCUUAUUUGGUAUGUCCAUACCAGUACAACAAGAUGAAACAAGAAAAUAUAGAAGAAAAAAAGUAACACACAAGUCCAUUUAAAAAAAAAAAGAUCAGAACAGACCUCAUCAAUAGUCUGAGUUUUACGGCUGCGAUGCAGAAAUAAGUUUGACUUAAUAUGUGUCCAAGAAGCCGGCUGGGAAGCUACAACAACAGCCAUAAAUGCACCAAAACAAAAAAAAAAAAAAGGAAUGAUAAGAAACUCGGAAAGGAUAAUAUACAGACCAGAAAUUUUGUCAUGAAAUCACAUUGAAUGUUUAAGUAUCCCAUAAUGUGAUAGAAACAAACAUACCAGCUGAUUUUAAAGGCUUAUUUCCUUUAGAUAUAGGUUGCAACUUAGAUGAAUCUUCAUCACAAGAAGCAUCCGAGAGGUCCAACUCAGCAUUAAUCUCCGCAUUUGUCUUCUCUUGUGGUAUUGAGCAGUCAGCAAAUGCCUUGUCUGCAUUGUCCUUGCAAGUCCUUCAAAAAAUGAGCAACAGUAAUAAAUUAACAUGUUAAAGCCAAAAUAACAAAGAAAAUUAACAAGACUCUACCGGAAGAUGCAAUGAAGCAAAGUAUAGGACCUCAUGCAACACAAAUCAGGCAAGUGUUGUUUUAUAAAUAAUUUAUCCCAUGCAACAGUAAUACUUCUUUUAACCCAAAAUGCACCAAGAAAUUCAUAAAGGGCAUAGGUAGAUAUCAGAUACAAUUGAAAUUGGACUUACAUUACGGUUUAAGUAUACAACAAUGACAAACUAAAAAUCUUAUCAUCUAGAUCAUACAGUUGCAGCUGGUCUACAUUCAUGCAAAUAUGUGGUUAAAGUAUCCACUCGUCAAAAUUCAAGAAUAAUUGCUACACACACUGUAAGUUUGUUGUCUGCAUUAGCAUGUUACACAUGUUAGGAUAAGUAGUAUCAAAAAGGCUUUUUCAUCUCAAAUAAACAGAAAGAAAGUAUGUUUAUAUACGAUUAGAGAGAAAAAGAUGAAGUAGCAAAGUUUGUACCAUCCGCAGUUUGUUGCAUCAAUUAUAUCUGCUAGUGCAGCUGGUAUACAACGCCAUUUUUGACAAUCAUCGCAGAGGACCCAUGCAACACGUGGCCGUAAAGACUGUCCCUCGAGAAUACUAGCAGUUUCACCAAGAGGUACUUUAUCUCCAAUAUUAACCACAGAGUAGGUCAAUUGAUCCUUCAAUACAGGUCCUCUUCUAUGAUUAGGCUCACCUAUACACCGAAAUAUAUUCAUAACAUAUUCAAGUAACAUACAAAUCCAGGAUGCAAAACUUUUAAGCAACAAUAUAGAAGGUCAAAUAGCAGGAUAGAAUCAGUAGAUCUAAAUAAUGAUCUAAGUAAAAAAGUAUGCAGUAGUGGGACAAACUUACCGUUUAGUUCAUUUGACUUAGCACCAUUUACUUCUUUGCGGACAUUUACUUUCCUUUUUCCAUCACAGUUUUGUCUUCUGCGCCUUGAAGACUCUAGUUUGCUUGAUUUGCCUUUACCCACCUUUGAUUUGGUACUUCUGCAAGAUUUAUUUUCUUCGAUUCUAUCAGUUAAUGAAGAUUUCUCAUCAAUUCCCUCUGCACAACAUUCCAGUUUUGUAGGUUCUGGAAAGCAUUCGUUCUCAGGCAGUCCAAGGACAGACGAUUCAGCAGGAAGAAUUUUACCUUCUGAACAUUUUCCAGAUAAAAAUUCAGUCGAGUUCAAAUUGCUUACUUUAGAUCUAUCUUUCUUUUUGCACUUAUGCCUACAUAAACUUUUAGGAUUCUUAGCCUUCUUCAGCUUUUGGGAUCCUUGCAACUUUUCCUCAGUAACAGGUGCUCUAAAUCCGUGACUCUUCUUGCUAUUUUUCCCUCUUGUAUCAGUGGUUUUCUGUUCUAAAUCAAAUGAUGAAGCUGACGCUGGACUUGAAACAGCUUUAUUAGUAGCACAAAAACCAUCUUCGACCGUCAGAUCAGGAACAACUGAGCCCUGGAGUGUUACAACAUCUUGGAUAGCUGGAGUGCUACCUAUAUCCAUGACUGGAUUAUAAAGAUCAGAGUCAGGAGAUGAACCUGGAUCUAACAUGCCCCUUACGCUUCCCAAAGUUAGUCCAGAACCUGUAUGAGAUGAAACUCCAUUGCUUUCACCCAGAAUGUAAUCUGAACAUGUUUCCUGGGUCAAACUACUUUCCAAGUCCCUCUCUAGUUGCAGCCCAUCCCUUUGAAGCAAUUUUACUUCAACAUUCGUAGCCUUUCCAAUUUCAUCAGAAACAAGCAAAGUUGCAUUCUGAUUCAAAUUUGGCAUGUUAUCACAGGUAUUUGGUUGUAAAGAAGCAUGCAAAUCGACCGAAACAGGAAAGGCUGAUUCCAGAUUCAUUUGAUCCUUUGCAUCAAUUGAAUUGGUCAAAGCAGCAGAUUUCGUCUUUGAGGACCUGAAAUUUUUAUUUCUCCAGCUGGUUUGGCAUCUUUUUAAACUAUGACCAGAGAUACUUUUCUUCGACCUUCUGCCCUGCAGCUGAACAGAAUCUGGCAGAUGCAUCAAAAGCUCCUGAUUUUGAAUGAAAAUUUUUGAUAAAUUUUCAAUCUUUCCCCAAGCAGAACUUUGUGGCGAUUGUCUUCGGGAGUAACUUCUUUUCCUUGUAACUUGGUUUGGGAUCUUAAUGAUGUUGCUUAAGAGUGGUACAGCAAUGCCAACCUCUUUCCUAUUUUUCCUUGUAAUUUUCCUUUUUCCGCUCAAUUGAUUGGAAUUUUCAUUAGAAGAAGUAUUGCACAAAGAAGCAGCGCGUUUAGGAUUUGUUCGCCUAAAGACAAUUAAAGGUAAACGUCUUGGCCCCAUAGAUUCUCCAGCAUUGACAUGCCCAAAAGGCUCAGUUAAAUUGUCAGUGCAAGUUGUCUUUACAUUUAUCGCGCUGGCAUCAACUCUAUCUAAUUGUUCACCUCUUUCUUGAAGAGAAACAUCAUCUCCGACUGAAGGAGAAAUAUUUGUCGGAAGGUCGGCGACAAACUCAUUCGCCUGCCUGUUGGUCUCUUCUGAAUAAAAACCGGCAUGCAUGUCACACCCAUUACUAUUUUCAUCAAAUGAUUUAACUAUAUAAUUACCUUCUAAUCCGACAACAGCGCCGGAAGAAGAAUGGGCCAAUCCAUCUCCUUCCAAAGUAAUCGAAAGCGGCACAUGUGGAAAGUGCUCGCUCUCUUCCUUUUUAGCGACCUCCAGACCCCCAUUAACGGUCUUGUCGUCUACCACCGUCUGCCCGUCGUCUACCGGCGCACGUUGAAAGUGCUCGCUCUCUUCAACUUUAGCAAUCUUCAGAUCCCCGUUAACGGUGUUGUCGCCUACCAUAUUCCGCUCGACCAAUGAACUGAAACCACACGCCGAACAGUCAUCGGUAACACCCACAUUAUCUAUCCUGAGAACCUCAUCUGCAUGGCCUAAUUCUGAGCCAAGAGAGCUCUUUUCUUCCUCUUCAGCAACAGGCUCUUUGCACCCUUCUUCCUCCUCACUCGGCCCUUUAAUUAUUUUUACAAAACUCUUAAUUUCAUCACAACAAGGAGGGCAACCUCUCUUCUCCUCAGAACCACCAACAUUGCUUCCUAUUGAAACCCUUACCGGCUCGAAAGCUGAGCAUGCUAUGUUUCCCUCAUCAUCUCUUCCAUCCAACACCUCUUCACGGCGUCUGGCGCUGCCGCCGCCGUAGCCGCAACCAUCGCCUGCGGCUGCGGCGAAUUCUUGCGCCGCCGUAUCCGGGGACGCGCGCAUUGACGCCUCUCCCUCGGAGGGAUCUCCCCUGCAACUCGCCUCCGCCUCCCCCAUCCCUAAACAAUCCAAAGCAUACGCAAAUUAGGGUUCAGGAAACCCCAAAAUCACAAAAUACCAAACAACCCCGACGCCUCAACACAAUGCCCGCAAGAAACAACACAACCGAUCAAAACCCCAACAAAAACGACCAUAAAAAUCCCCCAAAAAAACCAGAAAAAACCCUAAUUUCCGCCCCGCGAACACGAUCACGCCGAUCCCCGACCCAAACCAAUUCCGAUCAAGAAAAAGACCAAAAAUUUAGAGGAAAACGACGGAUACGUGCCUGGAGACGAGGAGGGCGCCGCGGAGGCGAACGGGGACGCAAUCGCCGCUUCCGCUUCGGCUUCUCCGCGACGCGGCGGAUUCGGCGGCGAGGAUAAGCUCUUCCCCCUCUCCUUCUCCUCCUCCUCCUCCUCCUCCUCGCUCAUAAACGAAUCCAAAAGAGGAGAACGAAAAAGAAAAAGGAAAAUAAAAAAAAUAAAAAUAAAAAUAAAAAUAAAAAUAAAAAAAUAAAUGAUGGUUUUUUUUUUUUUUUUUGGUUGACGGUUUCAAGAGAAGGGUGCGGAACAGUGCUAUUCCGCGUUUUAUAGUGAUAAAUAUUUACGGAGAUAACCCUUAACUAGAAGAUACUUUUAAAACAAUCCUUUCCGUUUUUCUAUUUUAUAGUGCUUGUUUAGUUAAUUAUUACUUUAGUUAGUCUUGUAAAAAAAAUAAUUUAUUAAAUUUGAUGAGUUUAUAACUAUUAGCAGCUAACUGUUUUAGUUUUACUUACUAAAAGUGAUGAAAAUAGUUAAAUUUGUCUAAUCGUAGAUGAAUUUAAUAAACAUUUGAUUCAAUUGAAUAAAAUUAUCGAUUUUUGAAAAAACAAACCAUAAAAUUUUUUAAUUUAAACUAUUCUAGGUAGUUUAGUUUAAAACAUUUAAUAAAUUUGUUAGCAUUAAUUUUUAAUUAUUUUAUUUUAAAAUUUAUUUACUAAAAAUUAUUAAAUUAUUCAACUUUGUUGCAUUUGGUAAAACUUUCACUCUUAAAUAGAUAAUAAUAGGGGUCACUCUCAACAUUAUCUAAAGUUGAGGGGUCACGGUGAAUUUUUACCAUCCUAAUUCCGAUUUGGGUCUUUGUGUUAUUCCGGGGGGCGGGAUAGAGUAAGGAGUGGACAGUAAUUAGGACGAAAACGAGGGGCAAAGGUGGAAAAAUGAUAAGCGUUUAAUGCGAAAGGAGUGAUUAGGAGGAAAACAAGGGGCAAAGUUGAAAAGGGAUAAGCUUAUUCUCCCGUGGGUGUGCGUGUUGUGGGGGGGGGCGGGGGUGGAAUAGUAAUUAGGGGGAAAAUCAGGGGCAAAGUUGGAAAAGGACACGUGGAUUAAUGUAAUGAGGAAACGGGAAACUCUGUGAUUGUAAUUAGGACUAAAACGAGGGGCAUAAUUGGAAAUGUGAUGAGUGUUUAUCGUCGGGGUGGGGUGAAUAGUAAUUUAUGGCGAAAACGGGGGGCAAAGAUGGAAAAGGAAACGCGGUUUGUAAUGUGAAAAGGAACGGAACGGGAAAGAAACUGUGUCUGAGCCCUUCACAGUUGACGCGUAGUAUAACCGUUUUGUAAUCUUUAUGGAAGCAAUAAAUAUAUAUAUAUAUAUAUAUAUAGAGUGAGGCUACUGUGCUAUCGGAAACACGGAGCCUUCCGUGUUUUUAGCUCGUUUUCAAUGUUGCGACUUUCGAAUCGUCGAUCGGUUCCGUUAAACUUGAUCUAGAGUAUUUGGAGUACCUAGAAAAUAAAUUUUAUUAUUUUUCGAUAUCAUUUGCCUAGUGAUCGAAUGGGCUCAAAAUCAACAAAUUUUAAUGGCCGUAGUGAGCCGUUUGCAAGUUUAACGGUGUAGAAAUAUCUAAAUCACGUGAAAUUUUGAUAGAAAAUUCUUUAUACUAUAUAAAACAAGAUCAAUAUCUUUGAUUUAAAAUUUUAAUGUCAUAUUAUUAUAUUUUGUAAGAUUUUUAUUUUCAGCCGUUGAUUUUGAGCCCUUCGUUCACUAGGCAAAUGAUAUCGUAAAAUCAUAAAAUUUAUUUUCUAGAUACUUCAAAUACUCUAGAUCAAAUUUAACGGAGCCGAUCGACAAUUCGAAAAUCGCAACAUCGAAAAUGAGCUGGAAGCACGGAAGGCUCCGUGCUUCCGAUAGCAUAGUAGCCUCACUCUCUCUCUCUCUCUCUCUCUCUCUCUAUAUAUAUAUAUAUAGAACUAGACUGAAAUACUAUUAAUAGCAUCAAUGACUUUGUACUAUUAAGUUUUUUGUCGUUGAAUUAAAAGAUAUGCGGUUAUGAUGAUGUGAGCCCCAAGGGUUGAGUUGGUGGUUAGUUGAAUAGUAUAAUUGAGAAAGAGAGAGAGAUGAGCCAGAACGAUAUCGAUAGCGAACGGACUCUUUACCAUCUAUUUGUCUUUGACGAUAGAAUCUUCAAAUCGACGAACUGCAUCGUUAAACAUAAUCUAUACCACUUGAAGUAUAUAGAAAUCAAAUUUUAAAUCUUUUAGACAUUAUUGACCUAAUGAACAAAGGAUUUCAAAAUUUAUAAUUUUAGUGAUAAAUAAAUAUGAGGCGUUUUCUCGUUUAACGGUAUAAAGCUAUCCAAAUCAAUUGAAUUUUGGUUAGAAAAUUCUUUAAACUAUUUAGAACAAAAUCUAUACCCUCGAUCUUGAUUACAAAAUUUCUAUCAUCACUUUUUAGAGGAUAUUUAUUUUCAGCCGCUUAUUUUUACGUCCACUUGAUGGAGAAGAGAACAAUAUCGGAAAAGUAUGAAAUUUAAUUUCUAGAUACUUCAAGUGGUAUAAAUAAUGUUCAACGGUACCGAUCGUCGAUUUAGAUGCUCCAUCAUAAAAAACAAAUGAGUGACAACGGAACUCGUUUGCUACUGAUAAUAUGCCAGCUCAACUCUAUAUAUAUAUAGAACUAGGCUGGAAUACUAUCAAUAGCACCAAACUAUUAGUGCUAUUAGGUUCUCAGCUACUAUACUAUUUAACCAAUCAUCCACACAAUCCUAGAAAACCACUAUCACCUUAACCGGAGACCACUAUUAUCCUUACCACGCAUCCUUUCAUUCAACGGCUAAAAAUUUAAUAGCAUUAAAUGUUUGGUACUAUCGAUAGUAUAGUAGCAUAAUUAUAUAGAGUCCGGCUACUAUACUAUCGAUAAUACAAAGUUCUUUGUGCUAUCGAGUUUUCAACUGUUGGAUGAAAGAAUGUAAAAUAAUUCAACACGGUAAUAAUUUAAAUUUAUAAUUCUUAAAUUCUCAUUUCAAUUUGUAAUUUUUUAAAAUUUUUAUUUACCUUAUUUGACCCUGAUUUGGGGUCAACUUUGGCCCCAAAGUGCGGUCAACAACACAAGAAUUGCCAUAAUAGUCUUCCUUUCGUUUCCUUCAGUGGGGUCAAUAUAUUCUAUUAAGGCAUUAAUAAAUUCAUCACUGUAGUUGACUAAAUAUUAGUACAUCAUUAAUAUGAAAAUGAUAUAGCAUGUUAAUUAUUCUUGCAUUAUCAAUUGCAAUACUGCUACGCUACUUUCACAUUAGUGACACAUUAAUAUUUAAUCAACAAAAUUAGAUUAUGAAACUUGAUUAUAAUGAUUUAAAAAUUCAAAAGUGUAAUUUCACCCCCAAAAAAAUAAUUAGGAGGUAGUAGUAGUUCUUUUAUGUAGAAAUGCACUUUUUAGGUAAUUAGGUGAAGCUAACAGGGUAUCAUUUCAAAAUGCUUACAAAAUCACAAGUUAUGUAAUUGCACUCAAUAGAAAUUUUCGGUUGCUUUUAAAAUCCCAAACAAAAAGAUAUAAAAAUAAAAAAUAACCUAUAUUUAACAGUAAUUGAAAUAAAAAUAAUAUGAACAAAAGAUUUUUUACCAAUAUUCCAAUUAUUAAUGCUCUAUUUUCGUUUACUCGAACACUUGAACAUUAUUCUUUUUAUCUUUAUGAAUUCCCUUUCAAAUUUGAAUCACUGCAAAAAUAUUAGAUCAUGAAUAAACAAAAUAAGCAGAAGCAUAAGCAUUAAAAUUUUCAAUUCAAUAAACUGCUUCUUCAUGGGUCAUUUUAUACUUAAUUUAUAUGUUGGUUUUUAAUUGAAAAAAAUUAAAAAAAAUCUAAUCAGCAAUUCCAUGAUCACGUCUCAAUAAGUUACCUACCAUUAAUGGCAGCAUUAAUUAAUACAUUUGCAAUUGCUUACAUAAUAUCUUUUAGAUUCGCUUUGCAAUCAAUAUUUGUGUUAUCACAAUGAAUAGAUAAGAGAAAAAGAAAAGGAAAAAAAGAAGAAGAAGAAGAAGAAGAAGAAGAAGCUAUCUUUGUUAUCAGACUUUUCCGUUCUGAGCAUCGAUGUUUCGAACCGGCCCCUUAAACCAUUUCCUCGCAUCGACGAUCCACCACAACAUUAUCAGAGCCAAACACACACCCAAGGCAAUGGGAGCAUAGUUGAAGGUGUUGAACUUGAGAGGAUAAUACGUCGGCAAUAAGAACACCGAGCAAGUGUAGCAGAUCCACAAGAAUGCCACUAAGCAGAUCGGCCUUCGCGCUUUCCCCAGAUAGAAGGGCCCCGGCUUGAAGUUCUUCUCCUUCAUGACCAUCCUCGCGAAUAUCGGAACCGCGUAGCCGCCAACCCACCCGAUGGUGCAGAUGGAAGUGAUGGCGGUGAAUACCACGUUGACUUUCAGAAUAGGGAGGCCGAGGAGAAUGCAAAUGGCCGCGCAAAACCAUACCGCGUUGGCGGGGACUUUAUGUUUCGGGUGAAUCUUCCGCCAUGUGGAUGAGAAGGGAAUCCCAUUAUCCCUCGACAAUGCAUACACCUGCACCGUAAGAUGUACUCAUGUAAGUGUUCUGAAUGCGAUAAAUUUCUGAUGUCUUGAAAAUCUGUAAGCUACUAACUAGUUUAAAGUGCUGCUAAUCCCCUUGAAUAUAUUCUGAUUUGCACUUCGCCCAGUCGAUAGUCGAAACCGAGAAAUUUAUUCAAGACAUUAGGUUCUCGAAUGAAUUUAAGAUCGUAAGCUUUAUGCUUGUUCAUGGCAAAAAGUAAAGAGAACGAAAAAUUACUGUGACUGCGGCAUUACAGCUAACAAACAACCUACCACUCUUGCCGCACUUGUGGUAAUGGAAAGGCCGCCGAAGAAAAAGGAGCCCCAGAUAACAAACAGCAAUAUAAUGGCCCCAGCAGAGUUGUGGUAUCUCCCGUGGAACGCAUCGUACAGUAUCUGCGCCGGUACAAAUGCACCAGCAGUUUCAUUGCUAGGGUCAUACAGAUAGCUAAAAUUCUGCAAGACAGGUAAAUAGCGUUGUUGUUACCAGAUAUCUACACAUAUAACCCUACAAAAUUGUCUAAACAUAAAAAUCCUCAAAAACUUGAUUCUUAAAUAUAUGCUCUCAUGCUUCCCUGUGAACCAGAUGACUCACCGACUCGAGGGUAUUAUGUAAAAAGUGGCACAUAAAAGGGGUAUACAUAAAAUGUGAAAUUUUACGGUGGUAUGUAUGUAAAUAGCCAUAGGGAUAUAUACGUGGAAUCCCCUGAUUGUUAAAUAACAACUAUCUUACUGUUAUCUCUGAAAUAGUUGUUGUAAAACAUACCUGAAUGCUAAAAGUGAGAGCUAAGAUGUAUGCCCAUCCAAAUAAGGAAAUGAUUCCGAUGCUAGAAAGAAUAGCUAUUGGGCCAUUUUUAUCUGCGCCUUUUGUCUCCUCUGUUAAAUGUGCAGCGGCAUCAUAACCAUAUAAAGAAUACUGACUAACAAGAACGGAUAAAACGACUGCAUAUGCUUUGCUGCUUAUUCCAGUUGAUUCUGGAGCUGUUUGGAAAUGUGUAAAUACAUAUGAAGCGGGUUGUGUAGUUUUUGCCACUAAGGGAAGCAUAAUAACUAUGACGACACCUCCAAUUACCUGCAUAAGAUUAGAAACGCAGAUUAACAAAAUGAUCCAUUUAUGGAAGUAUAAUUUGUACAAACCCUGUGUACGAUUAUGUGGAAAGAUUAAUUUAUUGAUUAUGUAGUACAAAUUUGAGAAUUAAAAGGAACGACAGCACCAGCACUUGUAUAAAAUUUGGUACUCAGAAAACAAUAUGUUUACUGGAUAAAAUUUAUUCAACUGCAAUAGUUCCCUAAACGGGAAAAAAAAAAAAAAAGCACAACCUAGAUUAAUACAGCAAAAAUGAAAUUUCAGAAUGCAUUGCUCAUUGUACUCAAAAAGGAGGUUAAUGUUAUGAUUACCUGCCACCACAUUGAGAUUAAGUCGAUGAAAGCAAUAACUUCUAGUGCAAAUGUAUUAAGCACUGCCCAGAUUAUUGUAAGUCCUAUGUACAUAGCAAGAAAUACCCCACGAGGAGCAAAGUAACCUCCACCUUUAUUUGUGCCAGUACAUAGCAAAAUUAUGCUCUGUAGAACUUGAGAUCCCGCAUAGGCCUGCGACCAAGAAAAGACAAUAUAAAGAUAACACGAAAAAGCAUGUAGGUUAACUCAAAUGCAGCAAGAAGAUGAAUUGUAGAGAAUUAUUAGAUGGGAGAAAAGUAAUAAAUGGUGAAAAAUUUAGUAAUAGUACGUGAAUGCCCUACCGUUUAAAAAGAAAUCAUCAUUACACCAAAUUUCCCAUCUUUGAAUCUUCUAUUGUAGCACUGAACAAGUUCUAGAGCAAAGAUCAGUUCCCAUCGAUUUAUCUGAUCUAAUGUUGAAUCAAAACAGAAACAAUUUCCCUACUAGAGUCAGGUAAUGCCAGGAAUAUUCUGAAGUCGCAAGAACCAAUUUUCUCAUCUUUUUCCAAAGGGGUGGCUUGGGCUUUGUUUAACUCUUAACAUCUUGGUCUACUCAUUUACUGAAGUUCAUAUAUUUAUCCAAAGAAAGAGCAAAGUUUGAGCUUACAACAAAAGAAAGAAGGUAUUAUAACUUAACCAGUACUAUGAAAUAAUUUAUUAAGCAAUUUAAAACAAACAAGCUUCUGCUUCUCUAGAGAACUAGUGUGAUAAUUUCAAAAAUCGUCUUAGAUUAUGCUUACGCUUAAUGAAAUAUUGCACAUUCAGAAACUUAGAGAGAAGUAAGAAUAUUUUGAUACCUGAGUUCCUAUGCCAGCAAUAAGGCCUAUAGUCUCCAGCCAAGCACAACACCAAGAUGCAAACGGGCCCCACACCGGUCCAGCUAAAUGAGCAGCCCAGAAAUACAGAGAACCAGUAGUCUGUUGAAGGUAAGUUAUAUUUAAAAAAAAAAAUUGUCAGGAAAGAUAGGUUUAAAUGCAAGAAAUAGAAGGCAAUGCCAUCAGAAGUAAGUGCUAGUUUAUUAAACAGUAUUCAUGCUGCAAAUAAAAUCUUUUUAGCAAGAAGCCGACAACAGUAUUAUCAUAAACAACACUCAAAAGAGUGAGCAGCAUUCAAGACGAAAACCUGCAGCUACACUUCCUGCGAUUAUAGUAUUAAAGGUUAUAAUAAUACUUGAUCAGGACAUCCAAUGGCAAAGAAAAGCAAAUAAUUAUAAUUUUUUUGCAUUGCAUAAUUAUCCCGUUAAAGAUAAAAUAUGAUAUAAAAUUUUUUCUUUUACAGACGGCAAAUUCUCACAGUUGACAAAAUCGCCACAACAACUGGGCAAAAUCUUUCCAACCACCCAACAUUGUACUCAUCCUAGUUGACUAAUCAUGAAGUGGAGCCCAAGUGCUUUAUAUGUUAAUAAAUAAAUCAAUCACCAUGAACAUAGGGGUAGUUGGUUGAUAUAGAACAACUAAGCAAUUGAGAGGACCUUCAAUAAAAGGACCUUCAAUAAAAGGAUGAGAUAUGAUGAACUAAGCAAGUUCUUUUGCUACAAUAGAACUGCACGUAAAAGAAUCAUAACUAUUGUUAACCUAAGCAAAUAACACAACAAAAUAUUUGUUAUGCUCUGUAGUGAAGUGCAUGUUAAUGAGGCAGUAGUUGCACAUACCAGAAGCAGAGAACAUGGUGACAAAGCCAAAAAUAGAAAGGAAAAAAUUGCACGCAAAUGAUUUCCACAUAUUAAUUCAGCUUGACCAUUUCCAAAAGCUUUUCCAUUUUAUUUAGUUUGUUUGCAAAAUGGGAAUCUCAGAUGCCAUCACAUUUACUUGUUCAAAAAGUGGAGGAAAUCUGUUUAAAUUCUCUCCACACCAACUCUUGGCAAUCUAAAUAAAGAAAAUAAUAAUAUUUUUUACAUUUCUCAAAGACAAAAAAAGGGGAAACUGCAUCACUAGUCCCGCAAACUUGCAGGCAAAUUUCACUGUGGUCCUCAAACCUGUAAGUUGGAAAUUCCAUACCCCAAACUUUUGAACCAUAUUUCAUUUUAGUCCUUAUCCUCAUUUAUAGUUACAAAAAAAAAAAAUUAUUGUCCUGCACUGGUGCAUCCAUCUAUUCAUACACCAUGCAACUCCAGCUACUCAUACUCCAUACUGUCUCAUGCUUGAGUUGCAAGCUUUUCUCUGCUUGAAAAUUGAAUCAUUUGAUAAAUUAUCGCAGGAGAUGAUUUUUAUGGCUGGUGCAGUAAAUGCUUCUCUAAGCCAAAGACUAAAUUUAAGUACUAUUAAAAGUGAGAAGCAAACUGUAACUUGAAUAAAAGUUUUUAGGAACUAGUAAUGCAAUUAAUAUAUAAAAAAAUGCAUAAAUAACUAAAAUAUACUCGCACACAAUACUAUUUCAAUUGAAUCAAUGAACUUGCCAAAAGAAAUCCAAUUUUGAGCAACUUUUUCACCAUUUUUUUGAGCAAAUUUUGCAUGCAACUAAAAGAUCAAAAACAUGUUAAGUAUACAUCUAUCUACACACAUACACGAAGUAAUCAAAGAGUUAAAGAGGUUCUGAGAACUAACAGGGAAAGAGGAGCAAAUCUCGGCCAUGGCGAUGCCGACGAACCAAGUGAAGAAGGAGACGACGACCCACCCCCACACCAGCGGCGCAGGCCCCGCGUACACCAAGCUCGAACCGUACAGCGGCGUGAUCCCCGUGAACAGCGUCAUCGUCGAGAACGAGAUCGCCAGGGUCUUAAACAGAGUCUACUCGGAAUCAUCCAAAUCCAAAAUCAAAACCCCCAAACACGCGUCGUAAAAAACUCUAAAAUUAGAUCGAAAUCGAAAGGGGAGGGGGCGGUGGUGUAGUAGCGCAUACCAUUUCUCUCCGGAGCUCCUGCUUGUAGCCGAGCUCGUUGAGCCGCUUCUCCCCCGAGUCCACCUCCAUCUCCUCCAUGGCGAUGGCUCGAUCGGUCGAUCGAUCGAUCGAAACCCUAGAGAGAGAGAGUGCGAGAGAGAGGGAGGGAGAUGGGGAUUUGAACUCCGUGUAUACGAAAGAGAGAGAGAGAGGCGGCGAAUUCUGCGUGUUUGCUUAGUUUGUUAUAAACUCUAUAUAUAUAUACUCUGUUUUGCUCCACUUCGAAAGAGUCUCUCCCCCCAUGUGUGGAAUUUUCGUUGGGGAAAAAUUGCGCUUUAUUUCCUAACAUAUUUCUUAUUAGAUUUGAGUCCUUAAACUUGUUAAAUUGGGGCUUUUUUUGCAUUUAGACCCCUGACAAAUUUUUAUUUUAAAAAUAGCCUUGUCAAAAUUUAAUUUGCAAAAAUGGCCCUGAGCCUGCCACGCAGGUGCCACGUCAGCGCCACGCGGGCAAGGCUGGGCCCGUGUAUUAAGUUGAACACGGUGAACCAUUCACUGUGUUCAAACACGGUGAAUGGUUCACCGUGUUUAGUACGUAUUUUUUGUUACAUAUUUUUUGUAUAUUGAAAAAUGGAAUAAGAAGUAGGGAUGUCAAUAGAUAUGGAUAUCCGAAAUAUUAUCCGAAUUCAAACCCGAAUAUAUAUAUAUAAUUUAUUUUUAUUUAUUUAUACAAUAUAUAAAAUAUUUAAUAAUUUUAUUUCUUAAAUCUUCAUCCAACCCAGCGGGUUUUAAAAAUCUAUACCGUUGGAUGAAGAUCUAAGGAAUAAAAAUUAUUAAAUAUUUUAUAUAUUGUAUAAAUAAACAAAAAUAAAUUACGUAUAUAUAUAUAUAUAUAAUUUAUUCGGGUUUGGAUUCGGAUAAUAUUGCGAAUAUCCAUAUCUAUUGAAUAUCCAUAUCUAUUGACAUCCCUACUCCUUAUUCCACUUUUCAAUAUACAAAAAUACGUAAGAAACACGGUGAACCAUUCACCGUGUUUAGACACGGUGAAUGAUUUACCGUGUUCAACUUAACACCCUAGCCCCAGCCCUACCCGCGUGGCGCUGACGUGGCGCCUGCGUGGCAGAGGCAGGGUCAUUUUUGCAAUUUUAAUUUUGAUAGGGCUAUUUUUAAAAUAAAAAUUGCUCAGGGGGCUAUUUGCAAAAAAACCCCGUUAAAUUGGUAACAAAUGCAUGGAGGCCCCUCACCUCUUCCAAAUAUGGCAUUUUGAAGAUUACAAUCCUACAACUUUUUUUUGAUUGCAGACUUAGUAUUUUUCAAAAGAAAAAACUUUAAACACCAUUCCUGUGGUUUCAUGUUUUUUCACGUUAGUACUCUGUGGUUUAAAGUGUAUUAAUUUAGUAUUCUGUAGUUUUAUUUUUAUCUUUUUUUAUCGAUUUUACUAAUUUUUUUCGUUAAAUCAGUGAUAAAGUUAAAACUAAAAGGUACUAAAGUGAAUAUUCGAUAAACCUAGUUGGAGUAUCUGAAAUUUUUUGUAUAUAAUUUAACAAAAUAUUAACGAAGAAACUAACGAAAGUAUAAAAAUGAAACCACAGGACACUGACUUGAUACAUUUUAAACCACAUAGUACUAAAGUGAGAAAGAGCGAAACCAUGUCGGUGGUAUAUGAAAGUUUACCCUUUUCAAAAAAAUAUCAAGGUGGAGUUGUGAAGGUGGAGGACCAGAGUGAAGCUGUUUGGACAGUCGGGGAGUAAUGUGCAAUUUAUCAGAAUCCUCUUUUUGUUUUUUUUUUUAUUGGUUGUUCCGAUUCACCGGACUCUUUUGCUGUCCUUUUUCAAUUUGGCUUCGUUGGGUCAAACGGUGAGAGCGUUGACUUGUAAUUAAUGAGAGCGAUUUAAAUGUGGCUACGUCGGCAAGUUUCCAGUGCCACGUGGAGCAAACAUGAAGAAAAGUUUUUUUUUUUUUUUUUUUUUUUUUUUUUUUUUUUUUUUUUUUUGCAUUUAGCAUGCCCAAAUUUUUUUAUUUCAUAAUUAGUUUUAUAAAAUUUAUAUUUGCAAGAUCACCAGUCAUGCAAAUGCCUAGUGAGCUUGACUGGCGACUUAGAAAUAAGUUGAAUACAGUGAAUCAUUUACUAUAUUUGAAUACUUGAUUUACUGUAUUUAACUUACACUUAUACAACUUAUAGAAGUAUAUAAUACAAUAAAUACGAUGAAUUAUUAAUUGUAUCUAAAUACGGUGAAUGGUUUAACGUGUUCAACUUAACUUGAGCCAUCAGCCACUCUCACAUGGUACUCGUGUGAUUUUUGCGUGGCGUAGAUAGAGUUAAUCUUGAAAAUAUAAAUUUAGUGGGACUUAUUUGUGGGGAAAAAAAAUUAAAAGGAUUAAAUACAAAAAAAAGCCCUAAUAAAGAAAUAGAUUUUUUGGUUUUCUUUUUUUUUUUUGUCGUUCUUAAAGAACGGUGCCUUUUCUAUUGGAUGUGUUUGUUUCACAAAAACCUUAAAAGAAUUAAAUACAAAUAUUUAAAUUAAAGAAUAUGUGUUACGUUUGAAAUUUAAAACUUAAAAUCAUAGUGCUAGUACAAAAUGGAAAAAACUGAUCCACACGACGUGUAAUUAAAUUUUAGAAUCUUGUGAAAUCGUGAGGAUUUAUAAUUAAAUUUAUAUUACGUGUUUGAAUUUCCAAAAAAGAUCUUAAAAAAUCAUUUUUUAGCUGAAAAAUUAUCUUUUUGGUCAUUUUGAUUCUAAAAAAUAAGUAGUAGUUUUUUAUUUUUAUUUUUAUUUUUUUGGUUUGGUAGCGUGUAGUCCAUGCAGUGUAUGGUGUGUGGACUCAUGAAGGAGCCGCAAUUUUGGAAAGAGGAAAAGGGAAAUGACAAAGCCCAACUUUAGUAAACAAACAAAAUUUAAAAAAUAUUUAUAUUAAUUUGUAAAUUAAUACUCAAACUUUACUAAUUUAUGUAGUCCGUUUUAUAUUUAAAAUUUUAGUUAAAAAAAUUAAAAAAGUGGAUAGUUAAGGAGGCCUACAAACAUUUUUGGAUUCUUUUCAUUUUUUUUAAUACCUUUUUUUAUUUUAAUACCUUUUCAAUCUCUCUUUUUUUUUCUUUUUUUUUUUCUUGAGUUGAAUAUUGGGCACAGAUGAUUCUCCUCUCGCUUAAUAUUUCAAGGCCCCUUUUCACUUUAAUUUCAUUCAAUUGUUUAUAAGAAGAGUUAAAAUACUAAAAGCUUGUGACAAUUAGUCAACAGUCGGAGUAGUUUUUUUUUUUAUAUAUAGUUUUUGCUUUAACAAAGGGUACAAGUUGGUGUUACUCUAUAUUAUCAUAUCAAAGACAUUUUUUUGGGUAAUACUCUGCAGUAUUUGGCCAAAGUUUUCUUCAGUUAAAUAAGUUAUAAAAAAAUAUGUAUGAGAAAAAGCUGAGGUGGCGAACAUCAUUUGUAUUUCGCGGAAUUUUCUGUUCGCCGUUAACAUGACACCAUUCAAGCAGCUUCCCUAAAAUAAGCGGAUGUAAUGAAAUGAUUGGUAGCUUCUCAUUUACAACAACUAUACUCAAAAAGCAACUCGCCACAGGUUUCAGUAUCAGAAGAAAAGAUGAGCAUCUGCAUAUCUUUUCAAAUGCAUCUUCUUAUCAAUUGCAUUACAAUUAGUUUCGGAAGAAACAACAAUGAAGUAUUAAAUGAUCUUCGUAUCAAAAUAAUGGCGAAAAACAACAUCGCGAAUAUCGACAUGCCUCUCUUCUGUAGGGUCAAAAGUUUCACUAGACCGUAUCGAAAGAAUGAAGAACCUGUUCCAAGACCGUUCUAGUUUCGCCGUCCAAGGGCUUAUCCGGACGAUCUGAGUAGGCGAUAUUGAGAAGAUAGAGCUUUCUAGAAGCCACGAACGCAGCUGAAAAUAUUCUCUUCAAUCCUCCCCUUGUGCUGUCCACCGAAUACUCGAUCUCGUACACCGGUAAGCCACCAUGGUUUGAUCUCUCGGCAAUUGCAAUCAACUCUGCAGCCAUGGUGCUUUCCUAUACAAUGACAACGACAAACAAAUUUGAACGAAUGAAAUCAGAGUCCCCAACAUUAUGAUACAUUCUUUGGGCAUGUUCGCAUUGACUAGAUUGUUCUGCAAAAGUGUGGCAUGAGUAGAGUCAUUUGAAAAAGUACUAAGAAUGUCUUUCUUAAAAUAUGCCUGAAGUUUGAAACUUCGAAUUGGAGCUUUUCCUUUAGAGCCCAAAAGAUCAUUUUGAUACCGCAAAAUCUCCAGUAUUUUGCUGGAGGGACAGCUACCGAAUAAGCUGUUUGUCCACAAUUGCACUUCUGUAAAUAGGCUUUGGGAAAUGUGCAGUUCCAAAGGCGGUGCCUUAGGGGGUCGGGAGUUAGUGAUAAUUGCUGCUUCAUUGUAGACUAUUUGGUUGAAGCGGAACAGAAGAAUUUUCGAUAAGAAAAAGUCCACCACAGGACAGCAAGUCCACCACAGGACAGCUAAUAGCGGACUUUCGCUCGCUUCUAAAACCUUUGGGAUUCUUACUGCAUCUAGUUUUUUUCUUCUUUUUUUCCCCCCCUUUACAAGGCCUAGUUGUCUCACUUUAUAGCUUAGCUCAUUCCCUAAAUAAAUGAAGCGGUAGCAAGCUACCUCUUCCUCAAAAAAAAAAAAAAAAGAGGAAAAAAUCUCCAGUAUUUUUGUUCGUCAAAUGCUACUUCGGCUUCCUAAGCCCAGCCGAACAGUUACUAUAGUGAUCAUUAUAUGAAAGAUUUGAGAAGUAAGCACAUAAUGAUGUCGAUUUUCAAAUUCAAAGACAUCAUCUCGAUGCAUGAACUUUUGAGUCACCAAAUAGUUUUCAUUUUCUUUUUUCACAAGUUUGCUGAUGCAGGUAAAGAUCAAUAGAGUAGUUUAAUCUUUUUGUCAAAUAACAACUUUGGUGCGAAGCAUGGCUGAAAUCAACAGGAUCUCUUUUAGAUCAACUGAUAGAUACAUCACACAUCUUUGUGGAAGAUAGUUGGAGUAACAAUCUCCACUUCUCAUGAAGCCAUUAUUUAAUCAAUGAAUAAAAAUUAUACUUUAAGAGCAUGCAAAAUUCUAUGCUUUCUUUAGCAGAAAUAAUCCAUAAGUAUAUCUCAUACAUAAUUUGACAAAAAGAAUGUUCCCCACACAAACCAUAUUCCUUAAAGCUAUGAAAUUCACUUACGCACUACAUUUUAACAUUGCUGCAUAACAUAUCAUGAUAUCAACUCAAAAUGCUAAUCAAAAUCUCUUUAACAAUGUAGUAGUAGAAGAAAGAAAAAAACAUAAGAACUAAAGGAUCAACAAAGAAACCUUUUUCCGUUUCCGCUUAUAUAAGCUUAUUGGCGACGAACUACAGGGUACCAACAAACUUAAUCCAUUUGUAUAUCUCCUACAUAAUUUGAUAUAAAGAAUGUCUCCAACACAAAGUUCCUCAGAUUUCUAUAGCAGUAUUCAACUACUAGAUCUCAAACCAUGAACUGCAAAAGCUAUUGAUUUCAUUUACGCGCUACAUUUUAACAUUGGCACAGAGCAUAAGCAUUGUAGCUAAGCAAGUAGAAUAAACAAACAGAACAAAAUGCUUAUGAAAACAAGAGCAAAGGGAUCAAAAGAAGAGACCUUUCUCCGUUCCGCUUGUAUAAGCUUAUCGGCGACAAACUCCGGAGUCCCAAAAUCCCGAAGCGAGGAGAGGCGCACGGGGUUCACCACAACUCCAAUGCUAUUUCCCCCUUUCCCUUCUUCGAACAGGGCCGUAGCCCCCGCCUUCUCCACCUUCCACCAAUCAAACCACCUCGCAACGAAUCAGAACCCUAAUCCCCCCAAUUCGAUCGGAGAUUUUCCGAUCGAACCCUAAAAACGGGAAUCGUAAGUCGCUUUACCUUGAUCCAAGAGGAAGGCCUCAACAGGGUGAACCCCUCGUCCCGAUCGGUGUACCGCUCCAAACCCUCGGACUCGGAAGCGGCGGAGGGGGGGGAUGGGAUUAGGAAGGUGAGGAGAGUGAGUAGUGAGCUCCUCCUGCUAGUGGAGAUGCGGCGGAGGCGGGCGAGAUCGUCGUCGUCGGAGGAGAGAGCCAUGGAUGGCGGCGGGGGUGGCGGAUGGAGGCGGGGGAGUAGGAAGCGGCGCCGCCGCCGGAGACGGUGGCGCACGGCGUCGGAGACGGAGGAGAGGGGCGGAGCGUGGGCGUGGGGUCGUCGUCCUCCUCGCGAGGGGGCGAAGAGCGACAUUGGCGAGGUCGCUGCUGCUGCUACUACUACUACUGCUACAACGCAGCUUUAUCUUUUCGAUUUUUUCGUUUUGGAUCGUGAGUGGUGGGAAAUGGCGCAGUAACGGGUCGGGUAUGAAAGGGUUGUGGCGUGUGUGUAUCCACACACACCCGAUUCGUUAGAGCCCGUUUGUUAUUUACCCGUUAGUAAUUUUGAGAUGGAAAAUAAUUUUCAGGUUGAGAAAAAGUUAAUAGAUUUAAAACUGUAGUUAUUAUAUAUAUAUUUUUUUAUUUAUUUUACUAAAAACUUUCAUAAUAAUAUAUAAAGGACGAAAAAAAUUACAAUAAUUAAUUUAUUUUUAUAAUUUUUUAUAAUUAGUUUCAGCACCCUCCAAUGCGAAAUUAAUUAUUUUUUUCGGUAAAGUGGGAGUUAUGGGCAAAUUUAAUUUGCGAUAAACCAAACAAAAGCAAAAAAUUUAUAACAGGAACCUUUUUUUACUUUCAGUGAAACAAAAAUGGAUUUGUAGAAAAACUAAAAUCAUCGAAAACAAAUUAAUAUUGACUUAAAUGGGCAAGCAUCUUGUCUUUUGAUGAAAGGUCGAGUUUAGUUUAGUCAUGUUCGAAAUGGCGAAAGGGCCGGAUUAGGCCGAGUCGCGUUCGAAGUGGUGUGAGGCUGAUUGAGCCGAGAGUCACAAUAAAAACCUAUGAGCGCUAUAUCUUCCUGUUUUAAGUAAAUUCAUUGUGUAUUUCUAACCACUCGAGCUUUUGAGAUUAAUAGCCAGCACCAAGAUACGACAAUUAAAUAUUGCUAACUCGUGGACACAUUCAAGAUAAUGCAUAAAACAAAAAGUGUGUAAAGAUAUUUUUAUUUUAUUAUCCUUUGUACAAGCUUUCCACAACUAUGCUCAAAAUCUAAGAGUAAAGCCUCUCCAUGCAAACAUUCAUUCAUUCUCGGCAAAACCCUAUUUCUCUCUUUGCGGCACAACUCAAUAAGAACACAGCAAGUUUGCCGCGACAUAGUAGCACAUUUACAAAAUACAACUCAGGGUUCGGAACCUUCGGCCUUGUCUACGACCCUAAAUCGUCUUUCUUUGUCACUCAAACCCGAGAGAUGCAGUCGCUUCCGCUUCUUUACGAGAUGAACCGCCGCUUCUCUGUCAACUUUCGCUUCCUCAUAAUCCGGCUGCGUGCAUAAUCCAAAGCGCGAUAUAAAUAGUUGUUUUCAAGAAAGAAAAGAACAGGACUCGGGCGCAAGUUACAGGUACAUUAGUUACGCAUACCUUGAUUUCUAAAGCCUUGUCAAAACUCUCAAUGGAUGAAUCUGGUUCUCCGUAGUUUAGUUGCGCCCUACCAAGUGUAACCCAGGCCUAAAUAAUGAAAAUAUAAACCAUCCAAAUUGAAGAUCAGCAACUUUCUUAGUAGUCUGAAACUUAGAUUCCUGGAAACAUCAAACUUUUGGUCCCCCAUGACUUGAUCUAAGAAUGUGCCAGCACAAUGUUGUUUGAAUUACAUGUUAUGAUGGUCAAUAAGAUAAUAUCAAAAUAAUCUUUUCGGUCCCGGCAACAAUCCAAGUCGUAAAGCAUACAUGCACGGAACUACAUGGUUGCGUAUUUCGAGUCAUGAAAAAAAAAAGCACCCACUUCAUGCAAAUAUUCCAAAAGAGUCGGACGAUCUUCAAACUAUCCAUAGUUACAACAAAACGCAAAAUAAUCUUAAAAAGCAACAAGAAUAAAAGGGCACAAAAUAAUUGUUAUGUUAAAAAAGCAUUUGCAAUUUCAACCAACCUCUGGCCAUGAUGGUUUCAGUUGCGUAGCCCCUGCAAGCAAAAGUAUAUAGAAGAUAAGAACUCUACAGUUAAACAACAUAGAUUAUAUUCUACAUAAGUUUCACGGCAAGAUGAGAAAUUUACGUGAUACAAAAUAGUUUACUAACAGUGUCGGCGAUAAUGUAUCCCUAAACAUGAAAUUGGAUAUUUUAUUAUCCCAACAGCCUAGUAUUUUACAAAGACAAACUAGUGAUAAAUCAUGCAGGUUGGAUGUGAUAUAUAUUUGGACAAAAAGAAGGCUUAGUGAAAAAGUCCAAAAAAAGAAAAGAAGAUUAAGCGAAACACGGUUCUUAACAAUUACACUCUUGUAUGAAAAUGAAAGAACACUGCGGAAUAAAAAGAGUAGAGCGUACGGGUAGAUGCUCUUAGGGCAUUCCAUGCAUCGCCGAGUUCAAGCAAAACCUGAGCCUUUUGUUCAUGAAGUACUGCACUGUCGGGCAUCAAAUUAAGCGCAGCCUCCCACUUUCCAAGAGCUUCGUGGUACCUUCCAUCCUAGAACAGAAGUAGUCGAAGAAACCAAACAAUCGGAGGAGUUACGAGGUAACACAGCGUGUUUUCUCCGAACAAUACGUAAAUAGGCACAAGAAUUUGACGAAUUCUAGAAGAUAUUUCUUAUAUUUAUAUCACAAAAACAUUCCAAACUACAUUUUUUAUUGUUGCAUAUGUCUAUAGAAAUGAAAGAGGCAAUUAUUGAAUCAUUUCGCAAUAUAUUACAAAAGAAGGCCAAGCACAUACUAAAUAUUCAUGAUAAAUUGAUAACGACGUAAAUCAAGCAUAUUAGAAUACUUCAUCUCUUCUACUUUUUAGUGAUUGACACCUCGGAACUUUUAUUUUUUUCUGAUUUGAGUUAUUUUCCAUAAACUGAUUCCAUUAGCUGAAAAGAUACUCAAAACAGGAAAGAUUAAUAUAAUCACCACUAAAACCUUUAAUUUUUCUGAUUUGAGUUAUUUGCCGUAAACUGAACAAAAUCGGUAGUUUCAUUAGCUGAGAAGGUGCUCAAAACAGCUAAAUUUAAUAUAGUCACCAUUAAAACCUUUAAUUUUUCUGAUUUGAGUUAUUUUUCGUAAACUGAACGGAAUCCGUAGUUCCAUCAUUAGCUUGAAAUGGUGCUCAAAACAGCUAAAUUUAAUAGAAGCAUCAUUAAGUUUAACAAAAUCUCUAAUUUAAUUGAUAAAAGUAACUUAAAUCAAAAGAAUCGAAAGCUAAGGAAGUGCCAACACCAAAAAAAUAAAAAUAAAAAAAAGUUGAAGGGUGUAUUCCAAAAUGGCCUACAGCUAAGGGGAUUCCUAGUCCCUACCAAAUUUAUCUCUCGGAAAAUUACCAACCAAAUUCGUAUACGUUCCACUCAACAAACUUCUCAAACAUCAAUUUCCUUGAGAAUUAAUCCAAACAAACCACACGUAGUUCGAAUCAUACAUCAAACGAGUACAAAAUUCACAGUUUGAAUCGAAAAAAAGAGUGGGGAAAUUGGGCGAAGUACCUCGGCGAGUUGAUUCCCCUGGGAUCGAAGCGACUCCACGAGGCGAUCGAGAUCAGGGUCUAUGGAAUCGAUCGAUUCGGGUUCGGAGCGACCGAGGUUACUCGCAUCGGAUGCUUCUUCCACGGAUUCGAACGGGAGACUAGGGUUUGGAGCGAGGGGUUUGGGGCGCGAUCGCUUCUUCGCCCCUCCCUGCUUCCACACCAAUUUCAUGGCGACUAUCGAUCUCUCGUGUGCGACAAAAGUGAUUAUUUGGGGAAGGAGAAGGUGAAAUUGUAUAGAGACCCCUCAAGUACGAAACAUUUUGAAAAAAACCCUUUAGUUGUUUUCAAGUUUAAAGUUAAAUUUUUAAUUACUUUGAUUUCCAUUAUUUUUGUUAUUUCAAUGACUAAAUGAAACUAUAUAUUUGUAGUAGUAAUUAGAACGAGUAAUUUUGUAAUUUUCCAACCUAAUAAUCUCUUGGAAAAGAAAAGUUUAGAUAGUUUUUUCGUUUCAUAUAUAACAUAAUAAAAUUUAUAAAUUUAUUUUAAAUUUUAUAAAAUUAUAAAUAUAUAUAAUUACAGUAUUCUUACCUACUAUAACUAAAUAAAAGAGUAAAGUUCAAUUUACUUCUUAUGGUUAAAAAAAAUUAUAUGUAACUAUUUUACAGGGGGCAACAAGAAUUUAAAUGUCUUGAUAUGGAAUCGUACCGAAAACUUGUCAAUGCGGUACGACACGGUGUGUAUCGAACCAACCAAUGUAUACCAGUCACAAAAAUUUUAUGUGUUCAUAAAAUAUUUAUUUUCUUUAAUAAUAAAAAAGCCUAACUAUUUAUUAUAUACUUCUAUCAAAUUUUUUAAACUUUAUUGAAAAAAAUUAUAUACUAAUUUAAAAAUAAAAUAUUUUGAGCUGUGCCACCGACACAGAAUUAUAUCGUACUGAUAUUUGGUUAGCACGAUACGAUAUGGUAGAUACAGACAUACAGUCCGUACCUAUGGGCAUCUUAAUUCUUGGAUGAUAGUUUACUUUAUUUAUAUUUUAUCACCUUAUGGUUUAAAAAAUUAUAAUUAACUAUCUCAGUUAAAUAAAAUAUAAUCCUACGAUUUUUAAUAAAUCUCAUUUUAAUAUUUGGGGAUAAAUUUGUUGAUUAAAUAAAAAUAAAAUUAUAGAAUAGUUAAGUGUAAUUAUUUGAAUUAUUAUAUAGUUAUAAGCUAAAAAUAGGUUAAACUACAUAGAGCAAAUUGAGUACUGUCCACGGAUGAUGUGGUGGACAAGGUCCAGGGAAUAAACUCUUACCUGCCUCUCUAUAUCCAAGGUCACGUGCAAAGCACGUGACCUACGCCCAUAAAAACCCUACUGUCCCCUCCAAUGGCGGGAACCCGACCACUC
rnacentral:lncRNA from 1 species